AGCCUGCAGGUGUCAACGUGGUGAUGAUAUUUUUCGUCACAAAUUCCACAUUGGCGGCAUUUGGUGCGCUACAAAGCACGGUGGGUCGUACGUGCUUCACUGAACAGGAAGGCAUUGAUUUCGAGGAGACUUUCAGCAUGGUGGUCAAGCCUGCCACUAUUUGUGUCAUCCUCAACAUUGCUACAGCGCAUUCUUGCCCCAUUCAUCAACUUGACGUCAAAAAUGCCUUCUUGCAAGGCCAUCUCAACGAGACUAUCUUUUGUGACUAGCCGGCCGGCUUCAUUAACUCCACUCGGCUUGAUCAUGUAUGUCUCCUUCAUAAGUAUUUAUAUGGCUUGAAGCAAGCCCCACAUAUAUGGUUCUUACGUUUUCAAAGCUUCAUCAUUUCCCUGAGAUUUUUCGCUUCCAGAUGUGACUCCUCACUUUUCAUUUAUCAUUGUGGUGCCAGCAUUGCCUAUCUCCUACUUUAUGUAGAUGAUAUCAUCCUCACCGCCAACACACGCUCCACACUUCACUCAAUUAUCACAUCACUCAAAUCUGAGUUCUCCAUGACCAACUUAGGCAACAUACAUCAUUUUCUUGGAGUCAUUACAUGCAAUUCAGACGCUCUCUUCUUGUCUUAACAACAAUAUGCCCUCAAAAUUCUUGGCCGUGCAAACAUGAUCAAUUGCAACUCUGCCCCCACGCCCAUUGACACUCUCCCAAAGCUCUCAUCCAUGUCCGGCUUGCCUGUUCCUGACACCACUCGUUACCGAUGCCUUGUCGGUGCACUACAAUACCUCGCAUUGACACAAUUGGACAUUCCAUAUGCGGUGCAACAAGUUUGUUUAUUCAUGCAUGACCCCCGUGAUCCACACAUGGAACUCAUCAAGUGUAUUCUACGCUACAAUCGCAUGACAUCUCAAUUUGGGUUUGAACUAUUACCCUCCACCUCACAUGAGCUUGUAGCCGAUUCCAACAUGCAUUGGGCAGGGUGCCCGGACACACGUCGAUCCACCUCGGGCUUCUGUGUUUUUCUUGGAUCCAACUUGAUCUCUUGAUCAUCGAAACGACAGCCCACAGUUUCUCGGUCGAGUGCAGAAGCGGAGUAUAGGGCCCUCGCACAUUGCAUUGCUGAAUCAUGUUGGUUGUGGCAACUACUGCAUGAAAUACAUCGCUCUCCAUUCCUCCAACACGCGACACAUUGGUAUAUUGUGACAGCAUCAGUGCGACAUAUCUCCCGUCCAAUCCGGUGCAACAUCAGCGUGCCAAAUAUGUGGAAAUCGAUCUUCACUUUGUUUGUGAUCGUGUUGCUCUUGGCGAGGCAAAGGUUCUAUGUACCAUCAAGCUUCCAGUUGCUGACGUUUUCACCAAAGGGAUUGCCUACCACGGUGUUCACCAGUUUUCGUCGUAGCCAGAAUGUCCUUCCGAGCGGCGUUUCGGCUGAGGGAGGGGGGUGUUAAACAUGUACCUGUGUUGUAUUUUACGUGGUCACUCGAUGUUGUACACGUUCCUCUUUUACAUGAUCUCAACGGACGUCACGCCUUGCCUGCCACUUGGAAGCUCGGUUAAGCUCCCCUACAUAUAAUACGUUGUAACUCUCUCUGAACAACACGACUCGAUCAUUAUUCAGUCUAGCUACAUUUGCAUCCCUGGAAUCCAUAUCGUGAAAAUGGUGAGAACUCAACCCUUUAAACAUGGAAUACACAAUUUUUUUGAAGAUCGUCUGACUUGGGAGAUCAAUAAAAGCAUCUACAGUCGGGCGCCUCAAACCCGCCUCAUACGCCCGGACGGACCGCUCGGUUCACGUUUUUUCGAUCCAGACGGGCUUCUUAAACGGGUCUCAAAUGUCCGGGCUGACCGGCACCCCUCUUAUGUUGCCUAAAUAUGGGGUUCCUGGACACGCCCGACACGUCGGGCCCGACAGCCCGACCCCACCCCAAAUUGCACAAAUUCCAUCAAACCCUUCCUCCUCCAGUCGCCCUCCAACAUUUCCCCCGCCCGAACCCUCGCCGUCCUCCACCCUUGCUCCCAAUCCUCACCACCGGUCCCGAUCGACCACCGGAGAUGUCGUCCAGCCCGACCCACACCGUCGCGAGGCGGCUGCGGCCCGGAUGCAGGCGGAGGAGGCAGCCCGGAUGAAGGCGGAGGAGGCAGCCCGGAUGCAAGCAGAGCAGAACGAGCAGGACACAUUUCGCCUAGAGCAGGACGCAUUCCGCUCGGAGCAGGCGCUCGGCCAGUGAUCCAAGGCCAUCCGUCAUGUUCGGACAUUGAUUUUAUUUUGCCAUGUCCGAUUUGUUGAACUAUGAUUUGUUUUGCUUUGUUUCAAACUUUGGAAUUCAUACAAUUUGUAUCGUAUGAUCGACGUGCAUGAAUUUCAGGAUCGAAAAUUACGGUAUGUGAAUGUGCGGCGCAACAUUUGAGGAAUGCCCGAUCAGGCGGACGCGUCCGCGGGCGUUUGAGGGGCCGGAUUUGCCAAGUCCGGUUGUAGAUGCUCUAACAGUUCUACCAAUUUGCAUCGAAUGAUGGACACGUGAGAAACCUACCCUUCCCACCAAGAAAGCCUCGUUGCUUUUCAUUCAAACUUAGGAAUCUUACUAUGCAAUUUGUGACUUACUGUUGUAUCAGCGCUCUACACAAUCUGCAAAGGAAUUAUUGAUGCGAUGUCGCAAUUUUGGUGGGGUGGCGAGGACAAUCAGAAGAGGAUGCAUUGGAUGGCAUGAUGGAAAAUGUGUGUUCCAAAAGAUCAAGGAGGUAUGGGCUUCCGAGAUAUACACUGUUUCAACCUGGCUCUAUUAGCUAAACAAGCGUGGCAUUUUCUUGAUAAUCCGGAAUCUUUAUGUGCAACCAUAUUGAGAGUUAAAUAUUUCCCUGAGGGAGAUUUGAUGAACGCAAGGUUAAAGAAGGGAUCUUCGUUUACUUGGCAAAGCAUUAUGGCGGGAGUGAACUCUUUGAGAAAUGGUCAUAUCUGGCGAGUUGGAAAUGGACAAAAUAUUGAUAUUUGGAGAGAUGCAUGGAUUCCGAAUUGUGCGAGUAGGAAAAUUAUUACUCCUAGAGGUGGGCAACUUCUGUCAAAGGUGGCUGAUCUUAUUGAUCCAAUCACGAAUUCUUGGGAUGAAGAUUUGGUGAGACAAACUUUGUGGCCAAUUGAUGUGCAAAGGGUCCUCGCGAUUCCCCUUACUAUGCAUAAUAUGUCGGAUUUCAUUGCCUGGAGCUAUACAAAAAAUGGUGUAUUCACUGUUCGAUCAGCUUAUUCGGAGGAAUGGAACCAACAACACGAGAGGAAAUUGCAAUAUACUAAUGGUAUGGUUCGUACCAAUGUCAAUCCUAUUUGGGGAAAGAUUUGGAAAUUAUCGUGUCCGACAAAGGUAAAAAUAUUUAUCUGGCGAACGUUGCAUGGAACUCUACCGUGUCGUGUUACACUUGCCAAUAGACAUAUGAAAGUUUCGCCCCUUUGUCCAUCAUGCUCAAAUGGGCAAGAAGAUACAAAACACAUCUUGUUUUUGUAUGAGAAGGCAAAAGAGGUUUGGGUAAGCUGGGGAUGUACGAGGUAAUUAAGAAAGCUUGUGUUAUUGAUCGUGCGGGUGAGGCGGUUCUUGAAUUCUUACUUCUUAUGCUGCACCAAGAACUAUCUAUAUUAGGAUGCCAGAAUGCAAGUGAAUUAAUCGCGAUAACCGCUUGGUAUUUAUGGUGGGAGAGACGCAUGUUGGUUCAUGAAGGAAAGUCUCAAGAUGUGAACCAGAUUUCGAUGGGGGUUCGUGCUAUAACGGCAAACUAUGUGAAUGCCCACUCCCCUAGUGGGUCUAGUAGAAAAGAAGGAUGGAGCCGACCUCCUAUGGGUUUUAUUAAACUAAAUGUUGAUGCUUCUUUUGACCAUGAUCUGUUCAGGGGCACGGUAGGUGCUGUACUCAGAGAUGACAAAGGAAAAUUCAUUGUUGGCGAAAAUAGGAAGAUCGAUUGGUGUGCUGAUGUACUAACAGCAGAAGCGAUGGCUCUGAGGUUUGGUUUAAUUCUUGCACAAAAGGCGGGAUGCAAUCGUCUUAUUAUUAACUCUGAUAAUAUGAAAGUCAUUGACACAAUGAAAAAUGGAGGACAAUCGGCGGGAGUUGCGGCGGCAGUAUUCGAGGAUUGCUACUUCAUGGCAUGUGAUUUUCCGUUGACUAGAUUUGAACAUUGUAAUAGGAUAGCUAAUAAGGUUGCUCAUGAACUUGCUAGGCUAGCGAAAGUUUCUGUAACUAGAGAUUGGUUUGAGGAGCCUGUGGAGAAUAUUGUACCUCUUUUUAUAGACGAUGUAACCAUUAUUUCCAACCAAUAAAGUGCAUGUUUUCUUUAAAAAAAAAGCACUCUACACAAUCUUGCAUGGAAUUCCCAACAUACAAAUAUUCUGGCAGAAGAUACUAACAACUUGUGAUGGUUCCAAGUAAUACAAAUAACUCAAAAAUUGCCAAAUAUUUCUUGGAGACGGCGCGUGCGUGCGUGGAAAGGUUUCGACAGUUGGGGUGUCCCUUUGGAUCAAAGCCGGUCACUUUGGCUGGUCUUGAAGGGUGGCUGAAUGCAAGUUGCGGUCUUGGCGGCUGGAGGCGCGACGUUCAUGGGUGGAGCGUGUGUCUGAGGUGCGGGCUGGUAGCCAUGGCCAUGCGGGUGGCUUGGUUGCGAGUGGUUUGCGGAGCAGGGUGCGACGGAGGAGUGUGAGCGUUGGGGUACAUCACUUGCCCAGUCCUUGCCGACGGUGGUGGCAUCCAUGAUGAUGUAUCCUUCGUGAAGGCUUGUUCCCACUCCUUUCUGUCUUGCUUCUUGUGAAAACUUGAUAUGCAGGUUGGGGCGGUGAUGGCUAUCCGCGGUCGUACCCUUCUGGAAGGCAAGGAGUAGUCCUGGCGGUGUUUGUAUCGAUCUGUUCGGAUGUAGUGUGGUGAUGGUUGCUUUAUAAUAUAAAGCAUGGGAAAACUCUUUUUCAUAAUAAAAAUGUCCUUUAUCGAAAAGGGUGUCCUAUUCUUCCGUUAAAAUGUACGCAAGAUGGUAGGGUGCUGCAAUGUGCGCCUUUAUGGUAGUGUAACCAGUGUAAAUAACAAGGAAUGGAUGAUGGUAAUUUACCAUAGCAAACCCCACUUUAUUUGUUAUGUGUCUAUCUUCAUGGAGAAUGUAACUUUGUAUUGUAUAGUGUGUUGUGAAUGGUGGCUCCAGUCCUAAUUCUUCUAGCAGUUGCAUUAGAAGUAGGUUUAACUCCAGUCCUCCUAUACUCAUUUUCAACUAGAUCUACAAAUUCUUCUCCGAGUUGCCAUUGUUGAUGUGUUUGGUUCCCUGGACGGUAGCACAAGCGGUUGGUUCCCUGGACGGUAGCACAAGCGGUUGGUUCCCUGGACGGUGUGCACAAGCGGCAAGGGUAUCAGGUCGGGUCGCAGUAUAACAAUCUAUCUGUUGUUUUGUACUCCAAGUUUGUCUUGGCACUGUAAUCUUGCUCCCCGUUCGAACGAAGUAGGACGAACCUGCUGCUAGCCGGUAGUUUGGACAGCGGAGAAGAUCAGGGCGCCGGGGGUGCGGGAAAGCAGAACAGGAUGCAGCAAACUGUUCUCGUGGGACAAUCCGACAGCGUUAACUGAGCUAAGCAGCUCAAGAGCAUCUAAGCCGAAUUGGAGUCCAAAAGCUCUUGCAUCAAAGGCUAAGCAUCCAUAGAGAACCAGCGCGCAAAAUCUAGAGAAGCACAUCAAACCUCACAUACUAGAACCAGGAUUCAGCAAAUCCGAAGAGAGAAAAUUCUUGAUUGCUUAAAACAAAUUCGAAGAAACACAAAACAUCACCGCGACGCCUAUAUCGCCCAGUUGUUUAGCUCUUGGUGGUCUUCUCCUUGGUCUUCUGGAUCUUCAGCACCUUCUUCACAAUCUUCUGCUCCUCCACCAAAAACGCCCUGAUGAUCCUGCUCGGCACGAAAAAAAUCAGCUUAGCUCAGCAGCAAAUUUAUCAAGUAUCACUUGCUUUGAUUGAAUGAUGGUUACCUCUCCCUGACUGCAGGACCAGACAGAACACCACCAUAAGGACGGUUCACAGUCCUCCUGUUCCUUGACAAUCUGGACCUCUUGUACUCAGUAGGCCUCAGGUGUGGAAUCUGCAGUUUAGCAUAUCAAACUUCCAUGAGAAUGAUAAAAUGCCAUGGUGGUUACUAAGGCAGUGUAAUGUACCAACAACGCGAGGCAUAAACUUACGAUUCAGCAGGAACUUGCUAUUCUAUCUGCUGUAUUUAGCCACCACUAUCUAGCAGCAUAUAUAGCAUAUACCUACUGUAGGUAGAAGUGGUCCAACAGCAGUUCACGAUUACAUGCAUACAUGAUUUCACUUGUAAAUGGCUCAAUGCUACCUAUUAGGGGUUGUUUGGAAUGGGUGUAAAAUAGCUAAGCACCAGUGGUCACACAAAUUUUACAACCACUACAAGUGUAAGCAGCCAGCACAUAAGAGUAGACAAAUAGUACUAAUGAUUAUCUCCGCAAAGUAUGAACAUAAUGCACAUAUGGUGGACACCCCUCAAUAACCAAAUCACAAAGAAUGUAGUCCUUCAAAAAGUAGAGGGAUCAUUCCACAUAAAAGUACAGAUAAAUAUGAAGUAAAAGUCAGACAACGUACUAGCAAGCUCCUAUAAUUUUUCGAGACAGAUCACAAAGAUGUUGAACAAAAGAUUGCCAGUUAAACCAGAAGAUUUUUGAAAAACAUAAUAGUAAUCAAAAAAUAUUAUCAUUUGAACUGUGCAAGAAUACACCAUCUGAGUAGUACAACUUUGUGGUGAGUGCAAAUGCAAAAAACAAAAGGAGCCACCAGACAGAUAUCACAAUGAGGCUUCUACAACAAAACUAAGCAAAUGAUAAUAUAAUAUUGCAAUGACCUCAUAGAGAAGAUUAGGCCUAAUUCACAUAAAAUUAGGACAUAUUCUUGUCAUGUUUCACUGUAAUCAUACCCCUACUAAUAUGUCAGAAAAUGCUCUCAGCAACAAAAAUGAAGCUGAACUGACAGUAUAAAGUUCAUGCUAGAUUCAAAAUAUAAAUGCAUAAUAACCCACUAAGCAUAAAUUACAGAGUUAUACACUUAAGCAUUGGAAGAGAGUACAAACAGUCAAAAGUCAUGUUCAUAGAAUUGGUUUCCAGACAAGAACACAAUUAAGAGAGACGAAUCAAAGGAUACAAAUUCAGGGAAAAGAAUUCUAUGAGACCAGGUCUCACGGGUUAGCAGGUGAGACCCAUCCUGAUGGAUGACACGUGACAUUCACAAAUCACAAAGCAUCUACCCCACCCCCGACCUGAAAUCAGGGGGGAAGAGAUUAGAUGCUUUGUGAUUUGUAAAUGUCACGUGUCGUCCAUCAGGGCGGGUCAAACCUGCUAUCCGUGAGACCUGGUCUCAUAUAAUUUUUCUCCCAAAUUCAGGGCCAGACAAGCAAACACAGAAAGUGUGACAUGUCUCCAAUGCAAUUUAAAAAAACACAGAAUAGAAAAUAUGACAUGUUUCCAAUGCAAUUUCAAAAACACAGAAAAGAAGGUUGUUCUUUAAUGCAGUUUCAUGCAAAUCCUGUUUAGUGUGGGAAGAAAUAGCAAUACGCUUUACCAACAAAAAACAGCACACAAUUGACACAGCAUGCAAAGUACAAGGACGUACCAUACUCAUAAUUCAAAAUUAGCUAACAUAGACAGUUUAAUUUAAUAAAUCAGUCUAUGGACGGUAAAUUCACCCGCAGUAUGGUCAGCUGAGCAUACCCAAAGGUAUAGAACAUGAUUCGGCAAGAAUUAGCACUACUUCAACAAUAGUAAUCCCCACUUCACACAUUAACAUUAAACGAAAGAAUCUGAAGGAAAACAUUGCCACAUUCGAUGGGGCAGGACUCAAAUGUAGGGUUUUUUGUUUGGAGUUUAACUGUAUGUAUUUAUAUCAGCAACCACUUCGCUGAAAUACAGGUUGUAUCCGAGCGCAUGGUGCAUACAACGCAUGAAAUCUAACGAAAUAACAGGUUAAAAAAUGGAGAAUGGAACACAUACUCCUUGGAUCUUCUUGCCGGUAACCGGGCAUUUUGGCCCACUCGCCCGCUUCUUGGUGUACUGGUACACAAGCCUCCCACCUAAUAAUCAGUAAUACAUCAAGAAAACUCUUGAGUUGAGAUCCUGGAAGAAGACCCCAAAUUAUUUUUACCCAAGAUAAACUGUCAAGAGAGCGGUAAGGACACAAGUAAAAUUCAAGCCUAAAUCUAACACAUACACGUGCAGCAGCAAUACUAUCCAGACAGUUUCAAGACUAAAACACAGGAGCGAGAAAAAGCAGGCGCCGGUGAUCUCCCUCACCUGGGGUCUUGACGACGCGAGUCUGGUUCGACUUCGUGGCGUAGCUGUGGCGCUUUCGGUAUGUCAGCCGCUGCACCAUCUCGCCGCCCUCUCCCGGAGUUCUCUCACCGCUCGCUCUUUCGCUCCCGCUGUCUGUAACGAGGCGGCGCCGAAGGGAAGUGAGGGUUGGGGAGAAAGAAGAGCUUUUAUAGGGCUGUAAGUGGUCCGGGUGACCUAGAUCCAACGGUGGAGGACGCUUUGCCAAGUGAGCCGACGGCUUUGUGUUUGUUUUUCAUGAUUAUUAAUCCAGACCGCUUUUACCUGCAAAAUACCCAAUUGAACCAUGUUCGGGAGCCGACGUUGUUAGCACCCCUUUACCCAGAACACCAUCAGCAGCUCCCUGGUCUUCAAAAUGAUUAUCAUUGCAUGAUUCAAGUUGUCUUUCAUUUUUGGUUUUCAGCCUUCUAAAUUGGUUCAAUGAUUUAUUCGCACGUUUUCUUCCGAACUGGUCAAGCCUUGUCCAAGGAAUAUUUUCAAAUGUAUUUUUAUAUUCAUGCCAAGGACCCUUCUAGCGCAAAGUUACAUUAACGAUGAAGCUUUUCAGUGUUAGGAUAAGGGUGCCAAUUUGGUUGUGCCUUGAGAGCCUUGACCAAAACCGAACCGGCCGCGCACUCUGAACCAUGUGGUCUUUUCACAUGUCAUUAUAGUGUGCUAGCGCAACUCGAGGACCACUGCUAUUGGCACAUGUAAUCAAUAAAGAGAUCGUGCUCCGGAUUUGCAGCGGCAUAUUAACAAAACCCUUGAUUCGUGCACGCACGUAACGCAUAUCGCAUGAAAACCCACGAAAUUACUACCACGCAGUAACGCCUCUUCAGUGUUUUUUCUGGCCCAUAAAAGGCACACUGUGAAAACGAAUCAAGCUUCAUGCUUUCUAUCUCGCACUCACUCUCCUCAACUUCAAGCUCCAGCGCCCGAAGAAUAGAGUCCAAAAAAGCUUUGAAUCCCCUUUUCCCUCCUUUCAUCCUCGAGUGAUGGCCGAAAAGGGAGCCCGUGUAGUGGUGGUGAAAACCUCCAAGAGCGAUUCGAAGGCCACCGCGGGAAGCCAGGGUGCACCCGGCGACAUGCAGAAGGCGGCGGGCAAGAGGGGGCUAUGGCUCCCAUCCGUCAUCACCGCGGGAGACAUCGCCGAGCUCCAGGAGCUCGGGUACCUUCCGGCGCCCAAGGUCGCCCCAUGUCGUUCUUCGCUCAUCGGAGGGUCAUCGGGCCGCUCCUACGUCAAGGUACAGAAGCCCUGCGCCGGUGAGUGUGUCGUCUUCAUUUCGCAUCUCCUCUGAGGUAUGGGGUUUGGCAUCCACCCCUUUCUCCAAGGUCUCCUCUUUUCUACAGCAUCGAAUUCCACCAUUGCACCCCCAACUCCAUUCUCCAUAUCGCCUUCGACAUCACCUUCUACGAGGCGUUCCUCUGCAUCGAGCCCCACUUUGGGCUCUUGCUCAAAUUGUUUUGCGUCAAGGUGCAGACCAACAGGGGUCAACCCACAAAGUGUGGAGCGGUCAUGAUCAACUAGAUCCCGAGAGCCAAAUGGUUGCCUGGGAAAUUCAUCAAAACGGUGAAGUUAUAGCAGAAGGGUUGGUUCUAUGUGGCUGACAUGCCAUUGGGCAACCGGGAAGGGGUCAUCGCCUUCUCAAUCGCCCCUCUUGAGAGGCUGCAUAGUGGAGCCACAAAAUCUUACAUGGGGGCAGCAGGAACUGGAGGCCCUUUAGGAGCGAGUGAAGCUCUGCGUCGAUCAAGGCGUCACUCUCAUUGAUGUGGUGCAUGUCAUGCUCCAUGGCGGUGUCCAACCUCUCCAAGCCUGAGCUUCCCCCUUGUGGAAGUUCAUCGAGGGCGACGAGACCUCAAUUGUCCAACAUUUCUACAGGGGGAUGGACCUCAACGAGAUGCACGCACUCCUCUUCACGACCAAGAGUCAAACUUUCUGGAUCAAGGGGUACGACAUCACCUACUGCUCGGAAUGCCCGGCUACCAAGGUUUGUCACUUAGCCUUUUAUCUUUCGGGAUAAUUUUAGUUUGUCAUACCAAGCCAAAUGAUCGGGUUUGCCUUGUUGUAUUGAAUGAGCAUCAUGAAACACGGCUGGUUUUUGAAAAAAUUGAGUUCAAAAUUCAGUUUUAGGUUUUCACAGUAUGCAUUUCGGAAUGAUCGAGUUGAAAAUUUUGGAAGUACCGAGGCUGCAACAGAGACUAGGUCACACUGUUUCGGUUACACCGAAGUGAGACUUGGUCUCUUCGAAGAGCUCAUGGCACUGCAUAAAUGCAGAAUCGGUCUCAUCGAUUAAUAUCUUUUGGUUAUACCCAAAAGUGAUUCAACUCGGCAUGAUCUUGGAGGUUCCCAAGUGAAAUCUAACCAAUCUAGGAGACACCACUCUCCAAAAGGUAAUAGAUGAUGUGUUGAUGAUGAACUCCUUACCCUUGUGCUUCAAAAGAUAGUCUCCUCGACACUCAAUCACUCUCUCACGAAUUUGGCUUUGGUAGGAGAAGGAUUGGAGUAGAAAGCAACUUGAGGGGGCUAGAAAUCAAGGUUUAAAUGGUUGGAUGGGAAUGCCUUGAUCUCAACACAUGAGUAGCUGGCUCUCUCUCAAAAAAUGAAUGGUGGGAGUGUAGUUUCAUUCCAAUGGCUCUCUCUUAGAGUAAGUGGGGGUAGAGGGGUAUAAAUAGCCUUCACCAAGAAUCCAACCAUUAAAACCUUUUGACUCAACUUGGUGGCACCGAAAUGAAAAUCUUGAUGAGAUCGACCUGUGUAAAAGAUUUGAACGUUGGGCUUUCCGGUGAGACCGAAUGGAACAACUCGGUGGGACCGAUGUGCGAUGACCUAAGCAAGACUUCGUUUCGAUCCCAAUCGAAACAUCUCGGUAAUUCCGAAAUGAUGUGAAAGGGUUACAGAAACUUGGUCAGUGCAAAUCGGUGGGGCCAAUCGUCAUCUCGAUGGAAUCGAUGUUCUAGGGUUUGGCUGUGGCACUGUCUAGGAUCAACUCAGUGGGUCCAAAUGUAGAAGUUUCGGCUGGACCCAGUUGAACUUUUAGGUUUUGUCCAGAUAUGAUUUGGAGAAGGUGGUUGAGAAUUUUUGAAGCAAUAUCUUCAAGUAGUUGAGCAAUUGAGUCAUGAUCAAAACAUCAUCCCCUUUUAAUGGUAUUGGAUUUCCUAUGGACUCAAUGUGAUCUUGGAUCACUUAACCAAAAAUGCAGAGUCUUGAAGCUUUUUCCAAUCCAUGUUCUUAGCAUUUCAAGGGGGGCACAUUCUCAUGUCCUUGCCAUUCCAACAUUGAACUUCCUGAAAUCUAUCUUUGAAUAGGCAUUAGUUCAAUGACAUAUAUGUUGUUAUUAAUUACCAAAACCAAGGAGUUUGUAAGGGCAAGGAGAUCGUCUAUUUCAUGAAGAUCUAUGUGAGUGAGUCUUGUCCUUCGUGGACGGAAGCCAUGAUGUCAUAGACAAGGUUGCUUCUCCGUGGACCCAGCUACUUGUGAUAGGCGUUGGGAUUUCUCCUAAGAGGAAGGGUGAAGUAGUAUAGUAGCAUGAUAAUCCCCAAGUGCAAGGAAUCAUCGUAGCAAUUUCCAAAGGUGGAAGUGAUAAGUAUGGAGUGUUGAACCCACAAGGAGCUAAAGGUAAGAUCAAUAUUCUCUCAAGUCCUAUCUGCCACUAAUACGACUCUAUGUACACCGAACAUUUGCUUCCAUCUAGAGACGAGAAAUAAAACUACGUUGUGGGUAUGAAGAGGAUAGCUUUGCAUUAUAUCAGAGAACUAAAACAUAAAAAUAGGCGCUGCUAACAUAAAGUUAGAAUUAUUAUAAUAUAUUACAAAUAGCGAGUGUGGAAUAAUGAUGGGUUGGUGUGCAAAAUUGUCCUAGGCAAUUGUUAACAAGAUCGGUAAUCAUUAUUGCAAUUUCAUAUGAGGGAGAGGUAUAAGCUAACAUACUUUCUCUACUUGGAUCAUAUGCACUUAUGGUUGGAACUCUAGCAAGCAUCUGCAACUACUAAACAUCAUUAAGGUAAAACCCAACCAUAACAUUAAAGUACCAAGUCCCCUUUAUCCCAUACGCAACAACCCCCUUACUCGGGUUUAAGCUUCUGUCACUCUAGCAACCCACUAUAAGCGAAUCAUGAACGUAUUGCAACACCCUACAAUGGGAAUCCUUCACAUGUGCGCGGCACGAAAGGCACCAUAGGACAUCACCAAAAUAAAACAUACAACUCAAACCAAUCUAGAUCAUCAAUCAACCCAAAAGACAAAAGAAAUCUACUCAAAACACCAUAGGAUGGCAACACAUCAUUGGAUCAUAAUAUGUGGCAUAAAGCACCAUGUUCAAGUAGGGAAUUACAAUGAGGUGCGGGAGAGUGGACCACCGAAAAGAGAUGAGGAAGGUGAUGAAGAUGGUGAUGUUGAUGAAGACGAUCACCGCACUCUGGCGCCACCGAGAGAGAGGGGGAGGGUCUCCCCCUUGUGCUUCCUCCUCCAUGGCCUCCCCCCUAGAUGGGGAGAGGUUCUCCCUCUGAUCCUUGGCCUCCAUGGUGAUGAUGGCCCCCUCCGGCUUCCUCCUCCAUGGCCUCUGAUGAUGAUGGCCCCCUCCGGCGGGGUGCUAGAGAGGGCCUACAUUGAUUUUUCAUGGCUAUAGAAGCUUGCAGCCGCAGAACUUCCGAUCUAGGUUUCUUUUCGGUGGUUUGGGGAUUUAUAGGUAUUUUUGGCGUCGGUCUCACGUCAAGGGGGUCCACGAGGCAGUGGCAAGCCAGGGGCGCGCCCUCCACCCUUGUCGCUUCCUCGUGAAGCUUCUGGUCCAAACCUUGUGCUUCGGGGUUCUCUUUUGGUCCAUAAAAAAUCACCGUAAAAUUUCAGCUCAUUCCGAGAACUUUGAUUUCUACACAAAAAAUGACACCACGAUAGUUCAACUGAAAACAGCGUCAGUCCGGGUUAGUUCUAAUCAAAUCAUACCAAAACCAUAUAAAAUUGUUGUAAACAUGGCAUGAAUAAUUCAUAAAUUAUAGUACGUCGGAGACGUAUCAUAGCAGAAAGUAUUCCCCCCAGUUAAGAACCAAGGUUUAUUGAACCAAUAGGAGAUCCACGCAAAUGAACUAUAGCAGCACCCACACACACAAGAGCAAAUACUUGCACCCAACACAGGCAAGAGGGUUGUCAAUCCCCUUGUAUUUCUUAAUUGACAAAACUAAAUACACUUCAGUGACAAGUAGACCGUUAAACUUACUGAUGCCUACCACUAUUACUCCACUUCGAGAGCGCUUAUAUGCUUGCUUCUCUACGUAUUAAGUUCAUGACAAAUAGAGUAAUGCAUGAAUAUGAUGACAUAAUGUAGACAAAAUAAGUGAUGUGUACUACACAACUUAUUCUUGUAGUCUCGUGUUGGGCCUCCAAGCGUAGAGUUUUACAGGACAGUAGCAAUUUUCCCUCAAGUGGAUGACCUAAGGUUUAUCAAUCCGUGGGAGGCGUAGGAUGAAGAUGGUCUCUCUCAAACAACCCUGCAACCAAAUACAAGAAAUCUCUUGUGUCCCCAACACACCCAAUACAGUGGAAAAUUGUAUAGGUGCACUAGUUCGGCGAAGAGAUGGUGAUACAAGUGUAGUAUGGAUAAUAGAUAUAGGUUUUUGUAAUCUGAAAAUAAAAAAACAGCAAGGUAGCAAGUGAUAAAACGGAGCACAAACGGUAUUGCAAUGCUUGAAAACAAGGCAUAGGGUUCAUACUUUCACAAGUGAAAUCUGUCAACAAUGCUAACAUAAUUAAAUCAUAUGGCAAUCCCUCAAUGUGCGACAAAGAGUCACUCCAAAGUUCUUAUCUAGCGGAGAACAUAAGACAAAAUUGUUUGUAAGGUACGAAACCACCUCAAAGUUAUCCUUUUUGAUCGAUCUAUCGAGCUAUUCCUAUAAGUGCCACAAACAACCCAAGAGUUCAUAUAAAAUAACACCAUAUGAUACACAUCAACCAACUCUAAUGUCACCUAGAUACUCCAAUGUCACCACGAGUAUCUGUAAGUUGAUUAUACGAAAUGCAUCAAACAACUUCGGAUUCAUAAUACUCAAUCCAACACAAUAACUUCGAAGAGUGCCCCAAGAUUUCUACCGGAGAAACAAAGACGAAAACGUGCAUCAAACCCUAUGCAUAGAUUACCCCAAUGUCACCUCAAGAAUCCGUAAGUUGAGUGCCAAAACAUACACCAAGUGUUUUCAAAUCCAUAAAAGUAUUCAAUCUAAUAAUAAUGAAAUCUCAAAGGUAAAACUCAAUUCAUCACAACAAGAAAGAGAGGGGAAAACACCAUAUGAUCCAACUAUAUUAACAAAGCUCGCGAUACAUCAAGGUCGUGCCAAAUCAAGAACAAGAGAGAGAGAGAGAGAGAGAGAGAUUAAACACAUAGCUAAUGGUACAAACCCUCGGUCCCGAGGGUGGACUACUCUUGGGGAACGUAGUAAUUUCAAAAAAAAUGCUACGAUCACGCAAGAUCCUAUCCAUGCGAUGCAUAACAAUGAGAGGGGGAGUGUAUCUUCAUACCCUUGAAGAUUGCUAAGCGGAAGCAUUUCAUCAACGCGGUUGAUGUAGUCAUACACCUUCACGAUCCGCCCCGAUCAAGUAUUGAACGUACGGCACCUCCGCGUUCAGCACACGUUCAGCUCGAUGACGUCCUCGCCUUCUUGAUCCAGCAAGACGGGCGAAGUAGUAGAUGAGUUCCGGCAGCACAACGGCGUGAUGACGACAUUGGUGAAGAACAAUCUUCGCAGGGCUUCGCCUAAGCACUACAGAAACUAUGAUGGAGGAUAAACUAGAGGGGACGGGGUUGCCGGCACACGGCUUGGUAUUUCUUGAUGUGUCUUUCGUGCUAGCCCUGCCCCUCUAUUUAUAUGUUGAGCCUUGGGGUCAAAACUUGGAGUAAAAGCCUCCACAAAGUCGGUUUCACCCGAAAGGCAAGAGUCCUUCUCGGACUCCAGGGCCAGACGCCAGGGUUCCCGGCGUUUGGACCCAGACGCCAGGGACCCUGGCAUCUAGCCCCUAAACUCCACAAAACUUCCUUUUGCACUUUCCAAAAACCUUGUGGGCUUUCCCCUUUGGCCCAAAUAAAGUGUUCUCAUACCAAACAUUCCGGGAAACAUCCGGAACCCUUUCUGGUGAAUUCCGGAACCCUUUCGGAGACCAAACACUAUUAUCCCAUAUAUCAAUCUUUAUCUCCGAACCAUUCCGGAGUUACUCGUCAUGUCCGUGAUCAUAUCCGGGACUCCGAACAACAUUCGGUCACCAACAUACAUAACUCAUAUAAUACUAUAUCGUCAACGAACGUUAAGCAUGCGGACCCUACGGGUUCGAGAACUAUGUAGACAUGACCGAGACACCUCUCUAGUCAAUAACCAAUAGCGGAACCUGGAUGCCCAUAUUAGCUCCUACAUAUUUUAUGAAGAUCUUUAUCGGUCGAACCGCAUAACAACAUACGUUGUUCCUUUUGUCAUCGGUAUGUUACUUGCCCGAGAUUUGAUCGUCGGUAUCUCAAUACCUAGCUCAAUCUCGUUACCGGCAAGUCUCUUUACUCGUUACGUAAUGCAUCAUCCAGCAACUAACUCAUUAGUCACAUUGGUUGCAAGGCUUAUAGUGAUGUGCAUUACCGAGAGGGCCCAGAGAUACCUUUCCAACAAUCGGAGUGACAAAUCCUAAUCUCGAUCUAUGCCAACUCAACAAGUAGCAUCAAAGACACCUAUAGAGCACCUUUAUAAUCACCCAGUUACGUGGUGACGUUUGGUAGCACACAAAGUGUUCCUCCGGUAAUCGGUAGUUGCAUAAUCGCAUAGUCGUAGGAGCAUGUAUAAGUCAUGAAGAAAGCAAUAGUAGUAAACUAAAACGAUCAAGUGCUAAGCUAACGGAAUGGGUCAAGUCAAUCAAAUCAUUCUCCCAAUGAUGCGAUACCGUUUAUCAAAUGACAACUCAUGUCUAUGGUUAGGAAGCCUUAACCAUCUUUGAUUAACUAGCAAGUCAAGUAUAGGCAUACUAGUGACACUCUUUUUGUCUAUGUAUUCACACAUGUACUAAGUUUCCGUUUAAUACAAUUCUAGCAUGAAUAAUAAACAUUUAUCAUGAUAUAAGGAAAUAUAAAUAGCAACUUUAUUAUUGCCUCUAGGGCAUAUUUCCUUCAGUCUCCCACUUGCACUAGAGUCAAUAAUCUAGAUCACAUCACCAUGUGAUUAACACCAAUAGUUCACAUCACCAUGUGAUUAACACCCAUAGUUCACAUCGUCAUGUGACCAACACCCAAAGGGUUUACUAGAGUUAAUAAUCUAGUUCACAUCGCUAUGUGAUUAACACCCAAAGAGUACUAAGGUAUGAUCAUGUUUUGCUCGUGAGAGAAGUUUAGUCAACAGGUCUGUCACAUUCAGAGCCAUAUGUAUUUUGCAAAUAUUCUAUGUCUACAACGCUUUGCACGGAGCUACUCUAGCUAAUUGCUCCCACUUUCAUUUUUUGACUAUAUACUGCAAGGCAAUAGCCUCACAGUUCUUUAUUGCAAAGAACUAGAGAGAAUACAAAUGUACAAUUUACAAGUGUAACAAAGAAAAGAAAUUACUUACAAGGAGCCUAAGAGAGUGUGGCUAUCCAUGAAACUAAGUUAUCUUUAUAUUUACAUUUGAUUCUAUGAGCCAAAAGGGAAAUAUCAUGUAUGAAAUUCCUCCUCCAAGAUGUGAAGGAAGGUCUCUCAUUUCUAAAGAUCUUCCCAUUCCUUUGUGUCCAGAUAUUCCAUGUAGCAGCAAAGACCACCUCUGUGAAGAAAGGAUAACCAAAAUCCCUCCUAGCAGAAAGAGCCAUCUCAUAUGUAGUCUGGUUUGGCUGAACAAUCCAAGAAAUCCCAAGGUAGUUCCAAACCCUUUGACUAAAGUUGCAAGUAAAGAAGAGAUGUGCACACUCUUCAUGAGAAGCACAGAGGUAAAGAACACACGUGUCUUCCUGAAUGAUCCAUUGUCUACGCUGCAUCAUAUCCCUAGUAUUCAAACGAUCCAUUAUAAGAAGCCAUCCAAACACUUUAAGUUUGAGCGUACAAGCACACUUCCAAAUCCAUCUCAAAAUGGGAUCAACCACCAGGUGGGAGAAGCAAGACACAUAGUAUAUCUUUGAUUUGAACUCUCCAGAUUUAGAUGGCCACUUCCAAAUGUCCUUACUCUCCACAUUCAAAUUGAUCAAAGACAGCAAAUCUUGAAGUAGAGUGAGCUCAAAAUAAGCCUCCUGUGAUAGAAGCAGAUGGAAGUGCUCCGAGACCUCCGGUUGCUCCAUAAACUCACUGGUUGUGACUGUGUCAUCAAUGACAAAAGAAUGAAGCCUUGGGAAAAGCUCACGCAAAAGGACAACAUUAUUACCCAGCUACCAGCGAUCAAGCCAAAAAACCACCGUGUUCCCAUCAUACACUUGUGGGACGGCUAAUUUAUUGUACAAACUCAUGACAUCUCGCCACCAAAAAGAGCCAUAGCUUUGUGUGACUUGCGGUGGCGAAGAAGCAUAAUAGGUGUCCCAAAUUAAUGUGACCCAAGGCACGUCCACUCUGUUAAAGAACUUGAAAAGGUGCUCGAGCAAUAGAGCUUAAUUUUGAAAUCCCAAAUUAAGCACCCCCAAACCACCAUAAUUCUUAGGUCGGCAGACCAGAUCCCAUGCAGCCAAUGAUUGGCGAGGAUUAUCUGUGUUGCCUCUCCACAAGCACUAACGCAUGAUUCUCUCAAUCUGCUGCAAGAUGCCCUUGGGAAGAGAAAUCGUACACAAGAAAUAAAUUGGCAUGGAGCAUAACACCGACUGAAGCAGCUGUAAACGACUCCCUUGAUUUAGCAGACAUGAGGAAGCAGAUAAGCAUCACUCAAUAUGAUCAACUAGAGGCAUUAGAUCAUAGAUUGUGGGCCUAGACGUGCCCAUGGGUGACCCUAGAUAUGUGAAGGGCAUGGAGCCAACAUCACAACCUAGCAGAUUAGCAACCCGAGCACCCUACUCAUCACUCAUAUUGAUUAGAAUAAGUGAUGACUUACUGAAGUUGACACAUAAACCAGUUGAAGCCGCAAAGGUGUUAAGCAUAUCCUUGAAGGUGAUGAGUUGGUCAUCAAUGGCAGGUAAGACAAUGAGGGUGUCAUCUGCAAUUGAACGAUCGGGUAAUCAUUGGAGUUUGUUGGUAUUGGUAGAGACAUAAUGUUUCUGGAGCACAUCUCAUUAACCACAGACUAGAGUAGAUCCACAGCAAUCACAAAUAAUAAUGGAGAUAGCGGGUCUCCUUGGGGAACUCCCGAUCUGCAGGCAAAAUGGUUACCUGGAACCCCAUUUAAGAGAACAAAAGAAGAACCCGUAGACAAGAUGCUAUCAAUCCAGCCAGUCCAACGUGCAUCAAAACCCUUGCAUUGUAAGAUUCUGAGGAUGGCUUCAUGCUCAAUUGUAUCGAAUGCCUUCCUGAAAUCGAGUUUAAGGAUGAUGAUGGGACGCUUAGAAGCUUUACAUUGGUGAAUGUAUUCAAAACACCAAGCAAGACAAUCUUGAAUAGAUCUACAACGAAGAAAACCACAUUUGUUACGAUGUAUACAUCUCAAGAUCACUUUUUGAAGCCGAUUAGCCAGCAGUUUUGUCAAAAACUUCAAACACGUGUUGGUCAAGGAUAUGGGCCUAAAAUCUCCAACCACUUCUGGACUUAGCUUCUUGGGGACAAGAGUGAUUAAUGAAGUAUUAAGACAUUCCAAAGUGCACCUCCCAUCAUAAAACUCCUUGACAAGUUGCAUAAAAUCCUCCUUGAGAAUAGACGAGCACUUUUUUAAGAAGAGACUUGUGAAGCCAUCGGGGCCCGGUGCACGGUCAGAUGGCAUGUUCUUAAUUACGGCCUCAACCUCAUAAUCCAUGAACGGCAAUGAUAAAUCCUCCAGUCCAUUAACUCUGUCAAUUAAGUUGUGUAGAUCAAAACCCAUAUGGAUUCCUUUUGCUUGGCCCAUAUGCUGGUUGAAAUCAGACCAAAACAUGCCCGCCAACAGUUGGUGAUCGGAAACCACCUCACCUGUCGAGUUCUUGAUUGAAGAAAUAGUAUUCCUCCGAUACCUUUUUGUGGCCAUGGCGUGAAAAAAUUUAGAAUUUUCCUCAUCCACCUUAAUGCUUUGGAUAGUACAACGUUGCUUCCGAUAAACAUACUGCCAGUGUAAAAUAUCCUCAAGAUGCAACUUUACAAUUCACCUAAAAUUAAAUUCAAGCGAACUUAACGGCCGGAUCUCCUCCAUCUCAUCAAAGAAGAGAAUGACUUUGUUGCAAUUAGAAAUAAGCGCCUUAACCGUGGACAACUUUAAAUGCCAUUUCUUAAGGGCAUACCUGAGAGCUUUAAACUUGGAAGAAAUAGUUAAUGCAGCCGUGUGUUUACCCACCGACCUGCCCCAAACCUGAGCAACACAUUCAUUAAAGCCACGUAAUUCAGUCCAAUAAUUUUCAAAGCGAAAAACUUUAGCUUUAGGAAUGGCAGUGGCAAUCGUGACCACGCAAGGAACAUGAUCAGAGGCCGAUCGCGCAAGAGGCAAAACUAAAGUAUUAGGAUGAUCCGAAGUCCAUGCAACCGAAGUGAAAAACCAAUCAAUUUGUUCGAGGAGGGGUUUAGUUUGCAUAUUAGACCAAGUAAAUUGCCUUCCCUUAAUUGGCAGUUCAACAAGACCCAAGUGAUCGAUGAUUUCAUUAAACAGAAAGAUGUCGUUGACAUUACCACCAGGCAGGUUACGGUUUUCAAGCGACCUCAUAAAGUUAAAAUCACCCAAAAGUAGCCAAUUGUCGUCUCAAUUAAUGUCUAGGUUGUAUAGCCACUGCACGAACUCAUCACGGCUGGACCCUGACAUGGGCCAUAAACCGUAACUAGCGUCCAAACUUCAGAAGUAUGUUUGGAAUGGAAUUCCACAACGAUGCCAAAAGGUUUAGCCUCAAUUAACUUGCCCUCAAAAAAAGAAGAAUUCCAAAUAAUGACCAUACCAGCUGAUGCACCCACCAAAGUGUGACGCCCCCGAUUCAAUCGUACACUAAUCAUGCACGCAAACGUGUACGAUCAAGAUCAGGGACUCAUGGGAAGAUAUCACAACACAACUCUAAAACAUAAAUAAGUCAUACAAGCAUCAUAAUACAAGCCAGGGGCCUCGAGGGCUCGAAUACAAGUGCUCGAUCAUAGACGAGUCAGUGGAAGCAACAAUAUCUGAGUACAGACAUAAGUUAAACAAGUUUGCCUUAAGAAGGCUAGCACAAACUGGGAUACAGAUCGAAAGAGGCGCAGGCCUCCUGCCUGGGAUCCUCCUAACUACUCCUGGUCAUCGUCAGCGGGCUGCACGUAGUAGUAGGCACCUCCGGUGUAGUAGGGGGUCGUCGUCGAUGGUGGCGUCUGGCUCCAGGGCUCCAGCAUCUGGUUGCGACAACCAGGUAGAAGGGAAAGAGGGAAAAGAGGGGGAAAAGCAACCGUGAGUACUCAUCCAAAGUACUCGCAAGCAAGGAGCUACACUACAUAUGCAUGGAUAUAUGUGUAAAGGGCCAUAUCAGUGGACUGAACUGCAGAAUGCCAGAAUAAGAGGGGGAUAGCUAGUCUUAUCGAAGACUACGCUUCUGGUCACCUCCGUCUUGCAACAAGUAGAAGAGGGUAGGUUGAAGUCCUCCAAGUAGCAUCUCCACUGUAGAAUCUCCAAAUAGCAACUCCAAGUAACAACUCCAGUAGCAUCUCCAGCAGCAUCGCAGUAGCAUAAUCCUACCCGGCGAUCCUCUCCUCGUCGCCCUGUUGAAAAGCAAUCACCGGGUUGUCUGUGGAACUUGGAAGGGUGUGUUUUAUUAAGUAUCCGGUUCUAGUUGUCAUAAGGUCAAGGUACAACUCCAAGUCGUCCUGUUACCGAAGAUCACGGCUAUUCGAAUAGAUUAACUUCCCUGCAGGGGUGCACCAACUUACCCAACACGCUUGAUCCCAUUUGGCCGGACACACUUUCCUGGGUCAUGCCCGGCCGCGGAAGAUCAACACGUCGCAGCCCCACCUAGGCACAACAGAGAGGCCAGCACGCCGGUCUAAACCUAAGUGCACAGGGGUCUGGGCCCAUCGCCCAUAGCACACCUGCACGUUGCGAGGGCGGCCGAAAGCAGACCUAGCCUAGUGGCGUUCCAGUCCAAUUCGGCGCGCGCCGCUCCGUCGCUGACGUCUGAAGUGCUUCGGCUGAUACCACGACGUUGGGAUACCCAUAACUACUCCCGCGUAGAUGGUUAGUGCGUAUAAGCUCGUAGCCAACUCAGAUCAAAUACCAAGAUCUAGCGUGUUAAGUAUCCGCGAACACCGAACAGGGCCAGGCCCACCUCUCUCCUAGGCGGUCUCAACCUGCCCUGUCACUCCACCACAAAGAUCCACACAGAGGGCCGUCGGGACAAAGGUCCUUUCAGCCCCCAAUCCGUGAAUCACUCGCGGGUACUCUUCGAGCUGACCCGACUUUAGUCACCAUCUGUAUAGUAUGUAUGUAUGUAUAGUAUAUACCCGUGAUCACCUACCGAGUGAUCACGGCCCAAUAGUAUAGCAAGGCAGACCGACAAGAAUGUAGGGCCAAUGAUGAUAAACUAGCAUCCUAUACUAAGCAUUUAGGAUUGCAGGUAAGGUAUCAACAGGUGUAGCAACAAUGUCAGGCUAUGCAUCAGAAUAGGAUCAACGGAAAGCAGUAACAGGCUACACUACUCUAAUGCAAGCAGUAUAGAAGAGAAUAGGCGAUAUCUGGUGAUCAAGGGGGGGGCUUGCCUGGUUGCUCUGGCAAGAAGGAGGGGUCGUCAACUCCGUAGUCGAACUGGGCAGCAGCAGCGUCGGUCUCGUAGUCUACCGGAGAUAAGAGGGGGGAAGAAACAAUGAAUACAAUGCAAACAUAAACACGACGAUGCGUGACGUGACAAUGAGCGGUGCUAGGUGUGCCCUAACGUGGUAUGAGGUGGUACCGACGAAGGGGGGAAACAUCCGGGAAAGUAUUCCCGGUGUUUCGCGUUUUCGGACAGAUGAACCAGAGGGGGAAAGUUGCGUGUUUGAUAUGUUAGGGGUGUGUGGUGGACGAACGGGCUGUGUAUCCGGGUUCGUCUCGUCGUUCUGAGCAACUUUCAUGUUGAAAAUAUUUUAAUCCGAGUUACGGAUUAAAAGAUAUGAUUUUCUAAAGAUUUUAUUAAUUUCUGGAAUUUAAUUAGUUAUUUAAAUUAAUUCAAAAAUGGGAUAAUGACAUCAGCAUGAUGUCAUGCUGACAUCAGCAGUCAACAGAGUUGACUGGUCAACUGACGUGUGGGUCCCAGCUGUCAUUGACUGUUAACUAACCUAAUAGAUUAAUUAACUAACUAGGUGAUUAGGUUAAUCUAAUCAGGAUCAAUUAAGUUAAUUAAUUCUCUAAUUAAUUAACUAAUUAAUAUUUUAAUUAUUUUAAUCAUUUAUUUAUUUUAUUAAAUCUUUUUUUUAAUUUUCGUUCUAGGGCCUGGGCCCCUCAUGUCAUAGGCAUAGGGGCCUUAGCGGGUUCGGGCGCAACGGGCGCGGUUGCGGGCAACGGGCACCGGUGUGCGGGCGUGGUGGCCGGCCCCAACAGGGCGCCCGAGGGGGGGCGCCGGCGAGGCGCAGAGCAGGGCGAGGUUGGCGGGGCACCGGCGACCACCGCACAAGCGGCAGCAGGGCGCAGGGAGCCCAGACCGGCGCGUGGGCNNNNNNNNNNNNNNNNNNNNNNNNNNNNNNNNNNNNNNNNNNNNNNNNNNNNNNNNNNNNNNNNNNNNNNNNNNNNNNNNNNNNNNNNNNNNNNNNNNNNNNNNNNNNNNNNNNNNNNNNNNNNNNNNNNNNNNNNNNNNNNNNNNNNNNNNNNNNNNNNNNNNNNNNNNNNNNNNNNNNNNNNNNNNNNNNNNNNNNNNNNNNNNNNNNNNNNNNNNNNNNNNNNNNNNNNNNNNNNNNNNNNNNNNNNNNNNNNNNNNNNNNNNNNNNNNNNNNNNNNNNNNNNNNNNNNNNNNNNNNNNNNNNNNNNNNNNNNNNNNNNNNNNNNNNNNNNNNNNNNNNNNNNNNNNNNNNNNNNNNNNNNNNNNNNNNNNNNNNNNNNNNNNNNNNNNNNNNNNNNNNNNNNNNNNNNNNNNNNNNNNNNNNNNNNNNNNNNNNNNNNNNNNNNNNNNNNNNNNNNNNNNNNNNNNNNNNNNNNNNNNNNNNNNNNNNNNNNNNNNNNNNNNNNNNNNNNNNNNNNNNNNNNNNNNNNNNNNNNNNNNNNNNNNNNNNNNNNNNNNNNNNNNNNNNNNNNNNNNNNNNNNNNNNNNNNNNNNNNNNNNNNNNNNNNNNNNNNNNNNNNNNNNNNNNNNNNNNNNNNNNNNNNNNNNNNNNNNNNNNNNNNNNNNNNNNNNNNNNNNNNNNNNNNNNNNNNNNNNNNNNNNNNNNNNNNNNNNNNNNNNNNNNNNNNNNNNNNNNNNNNNNNNNNNNNNNNNNNNNNNNNNNNNNNNNNNNNNNNNNNNNNNNNNNNNNNNNNNNNNNNNNNNNNNNNNNNNNNNNNNNNNNNNNNNNNNNNNNNNNNNNNNNNNNNNNNNNNNNNNNNNNNNNNNNNNNNNNNNNNNNNNNNNNNNNNNNNNNNNNNNNNNNNNNNNNNNNNNNNNNNNNNNNNNNNNNNNNNNNNNNNNNNNNNNNNNNNNNNNNNNNNNNNNNNNNNNNNNNNNNNNNNNNNNNNNNNNNNNNNNNNNNNNNNNNNNNNNNNNNNNNNNNNNNNNNNNNNNNNNNNNNNNNNNNNNNNNNNNNNNNNNNNNNNNNNNNNNNNNNNNNNNNNNNNNNNNNNNNNNNNNNNNNNNNNNNNNNNNNNNNNNNNNNNNNNNNNNNNNNNNNNNNNNNNNNNNNNNNNNNNNNNNNNNNNNNNNNNNNNNNNNNNNNNNNNNNNNNNNNNNNNNNNNNNNNNNNNNNNNNNNNNNNNNNNNNNNNNNNNNNNNNNNNNNNNNNNNNNNNNNNNNNNNNNNNNNNNNNNNNNNNNNNNNNNNNNNNNNNNNNNNNNNNNNNNNNNNNNNNNNNNNNNNNNNNNNNNNNNNNNNNNNNNNNNNNNNNNNNNNNNNNNNNNGUGUGGGUUUCUCUUUUGUAUUUCCUUUCUUUUAUUUAUUUCUUUCCUAUUUAAAUUCAUCUAAAAGUAAUUAGCCAUUUUAUAAAAAGGUGUUUACUACGCCGUAAUUACCGAUGCAAUAUUAGACAUGGCCCGGACAUUUUAUUUUAAUAUUUGAAAACUUUUGACGUUUGACUUAUUUAGGAUUUAAAUUUGAAACGACUUUGAAUUAACCCGAGAUUAAUUACAGUGACAGAGGUGACGUGUCACCAUUAACGUGAGAUCACUGUAGCAUGAUUAUUCGGGCGUUACAAAUCUCCUCCACUACAAGAAAUCUCAUCCCGAGAUUUAAGAGGGGAGUAAGGGGAAAGUUCUGGUUACGAUAUUCUAAUGGAUCUUCUCGAGGAAGUUAAUUCCUUUUGUUGAUGUCUUCAAUCCUUUAUUCCGAUGCAUCAUGAUAAACUUGUCAUCAUUUCUUCGGGAACUCCAUCGUACUUACGAAAAGAUAAGGAGCAGCUCACUACGACAUAAUGCUUUUGAGGGAAACAAUCUGGGGUUAACCCAUGAAUUAGUAUAAGAUUAUCUCUCGAGUUGAACAUAUGAAAUACCUCGAGAGUAAGGUACGAAGGUACCAUAAUAGGCUCCAAGCGGAUAGAUAGUUGCUCGAAGCCUGAACCAGAGUGAGAAAGGGGUUCAGAGUAGCGAGAGUAAGUAUUGCGUCUGAUACCAGUAUAGAGCACUAGGAAGGUGGCCCGUGAAUUAAAUACGAAGCCAAGCGCGAGGAAUAACUUUGGAAACAGGGGGUAUAGGAGAGUCAGGUUUCGAUCCUGUGGAACUGUGGGCUAUGGGCCCACCAUGUGGUUUUUUUUAAAUAGGAGCAGUGACAUCUUACACGGUCAUGAUAGCAAGGCAUGUCAGAGAGUACCAAGUCAGUUAUGUCGGCAACAAUGUUGAUACCAAGGGCGAGGGACGAAGGGAACCAUUUUCCUGCUCGUUGAAACGAGGCGGGCCAAGAGGCAAAGUUCUCAUCCAUCGGCGGUUACCGAAAUUUCAUCAACAAUAGAAACAGGGUCUCACUGGCAGAGUUGUACACCGAGGUGUUUACAUGAGCAGAAGAAUCUUACUGUUUAGAUCAUAUAGAUCACAAGAAAGGUUAAACAAACCAAUGGAAAAGAAAAUGUGAUCCUCAGGUUAAACAGAACAAAUGGAAAGGAAAAAUGUGUUUAAACACAUAUUUCAGGGGUAUAUCCUUCCCAAGGACAAGCAGAGCAUGAUAUCCUUGAUAGGAUAUAAAGUAGAAAACCCUUUCAGGUAAGGGGAGAGAAAUUUCAUGAUAUUACUCACACAACGGUGUUAGGAUAAAUGAUAAAUAAAAUUUAGCAUCGUGCUUCAAAUGUUCCUGUUGAAAAUCGGAGUACCAUUGACAUGCUUCGAGAUAGCAUUGACAUGGUCUUCAGGUGAAGAUCAGACUUUGGAAACACGAAGGAUCCGUCAGGAAUAACUUGUAUAAUAAGUCUUACAAUUUCCUCCAGGAAGAAUGGUUGUCCUUGCAAAAGAAAUUAUAACGAUAGGUCCUCCACCCAGCGGGGGNNNNNNNNNNNNNNNNNNNNNNNNNNNNNNNNNNNNNNNNNNNNNNNNNNNNNNNNNNNNNNGGGGGUGCUAGGCAUGACAUCAUGUUACCGGGUCACGUAGAGAUCAAUGUUACAACUCUUGGAGAUAUGUCCCAACCAUCAUAUCUGACCGAGAUUCAGAUCCAUUUGGUGUCAGGAUACCUCAUACUUAGGAUACCUGAGAAGAAAAGGUGCAACGCGAAUUGACGAGAUGACAUUGUAAGAUUCUCGGGGAAAUGAACUAUGAAGUGAUUUCCGUUAUCAAGAGUCCAUCAUUAACCCAAGGAGAGGACAAGGAGGUGUCUGGUGAACUCAACGGCAAUUCACCGAGAUUCCCAAAAGAUGGAUGUCCACAAUUAAGUGAACAAGGAGAUAACAUUUGUCAGAUCAAAUGAUAUAAGGAAGUAUGCUCGAGGAAAACAUACACAAUUAAACAUUGGUUGAAAGGUGCGCCCGAAAUAUGGGUUGGGUUGCACGACCAAUGUCAGAAUGGUGAUGCAAUAAUCAAUAGCCUAAGAAUGAACUUUCGACCAUUAAUCUUCAAAAAAACUAGGGUUGCUAGAAGGAAAGAAUCCAAACAACACCGUUCACUUGUUGGAAUUAACACGGGGACCAAGAAAGAAUGGUGAUGGUGAGAAGUAUUUCUAUGUCAAGAAUUCUCAAGAGGUGGAACAAAUCUCAGAACAUUCUUGACAUAAAGGACAGUAAUACUCCAAGGUAAAGAAGAACAAUUGCUGGAUAGCAAGGAAACCAAGGUACAACACAAAUUGUGAACAAGUUUGUGUUGGGGGGGGGGAAGGCAAGAAUGUUGCCGAUGAUAACUCAAAUCAUCGAGGGACAAGGAUGGUAUUUCUCAUCAUGAAUUCAAUUGAUAUCCUGGAAGAACUCAUAAGGUUGAUGAGGAUCACGACACAUUUGUCGACAGAUUUCAUGAAGAAGUAAUCAAUCAGCGACGACAUCAAGUCAAAGGAAUGAUGAAGCCAAAAGUCAUUGGAACCAUGGGUACGACACAAACUCGAACUCAAGCUUGUUGUUUAAGGUGAAAGGGUAUGACGAGGAAAAUCGACGUAAGGUUAGUUUAUCGUCGAAAAUUGGUGCUCCGAGAAUAAGGACCAGGUAGCACCGUUAGAAUCGUCACGACAAUGAUAUAGCCAAACAGGCUAGGAAUGGCGUGAUCGGGUACAAACUCGUACUUAUAGAAGCUUACUGAAGAGUUGUUGAACCGAAGAGCGGACUCGGUUCAGUUAUCGGUGUCUUUGAGUGUUCAAUAACUCAGAGCCCGUGAAAAAUUGGAAUCAGUGGGAAGGUAGCACGUGAUGAAGAACUCAUAAGGAGUUAUGCAGUUCCAUGAUAAUCUCGAGAUACCAAGGGGGUAAUACUCGACACAAGAUCAAAGUAAAGGUUGGACUGGUGUAUUGAUCCAUAGAAGACAAUUGUUUUAACUUGUCCGAGAAAUGAGAUCAAAGAAGAACAAUCAUGGUCGGAACCACGGUUGCAAAAGGCCAGAUCCUAGAUAUAAGAUGAACUUAUACCAAAGGAAUAAUUUAUUUAAAAGAAGCUUUAAUGAUAAGAUCUGCAUCGUGUCCAUGGGCAUGAACACAAGUUCAAGGUCGACUCCCACUUCUUCAAUGUAUAACCUCCCAUUCACUUCUCGCUUUGAUAAAGGCAUUAGUGUUGAAAGUGUUACCUGGUGUAAUACCAGAUGAGUAUGACUCGUGAAAACUUUCGAGUUCACACAUAUUAAGGAAGGCAUGCGUUCAACCCGUCAGGGUAUCGUGGAAACAUAUACCACAAGCUUCAAUAUUAAAUAUCACAAGCUCGAAAGUAGAGCAAGGUUGAGAAAGUAGAUGAUACAAUUUACCAAAGGCAUUAUGUAUCCAAGGAAAGGCUCACAAGGUUAUUGAAUAUGAAGGACAAUGUCGGAUAAAAUCCAUUAAAGGAUCUGUCGGUCCAUAACAGAGCUGAUGUGAGCAUCGGCACACAAUCAGAGGAAGUAACAAUGCAAGGGCAUUGGAUUAUAGAAACAACUGACUAAUCCAGAGCUCAAAUGCAAAGGAAUUAUGAUUUCCAAAUUAAGGGAACAGAAGCAAUGUUCUGAUCAGGGGUGGAUAAGUUGAAUAGCCUUAGGGGUACUAUCGACGACAUUUGGAUUGGUUGAGAACCAGCUCAUGUUUAAGAUGACGUCUGAGCCGGAAAGAUAAUUUAAAAUGAUCAACUGAUGAUUGCGUGCAUUCGCACUCAUGUUGAAUCAAAAAGGAUCAAAAUGACGAUGCCUAAGGAUACUAACGAAUAUUGCCAGACAUAUGGAAAGCAUCCAUCAUGCAAGUAGACAAGUAUGACCGAGCAAUAAGCUGCUAAGGAUUUUUGGAGGAUCGAAUAGUAUUUCGAAGACCAUUGUGAAACACAUGAACAACUGGGGGAUGAGCGGAUACUCGAUAAGUGCGAGAAUUAUCCAUAGGGGUAUUCAGGUGAUAAAGAACAGCAAGGCAGUAAGCUCAAAGGAUUCUCGGAACAACAGAGAGAAUUUCAAGGUAUCUUGUAAUAACAAGAUCAACUGGGGAUGAAUGUAAGAAUAACAACUGCAAGUAGUUAUCCAUAAGGGUUGACGGUGGAAGGGGAAUUGCAAAUGCGAUGAACAUAAGUUCUCGGGUUAACAGCGGAGAGUAUCUUCAGGGUCUUCACGUGCCACAGACGAUCAACAUUAAUAAGGGGGUCUCAGGGUGAAAGUGAUAACGAGAUCCUAAUGUUAGAUUUCGCAAAAAUCAUUUAACCCGAAUAGAAGAGAGAUCAGAGUCCCAGAGUAUAGGUCGAGGAGUAAAAGAUCCUACUACCACCCGAUGGCGACGUGGGCCCAUGGGCCACACAGCCAUGUUAGUAAAAGUUUUUCAACGACUAGACUCGACUUCGGCCAAGGAGUUGGAAAGGGAGAUUCCUACAGGCAGUCGGCUCUGAUACCAACUUGUGACGCCCCCGAUUCAAUCGUACACUAAUCAUGCACGCAAACGUGUACGAUCAAGAUCAGGGACUCACGGGAAGAUAUCACAACACAACUCUAAAACAUAAAUAAGUCAUACAAGCAUCAUAAUACAAGCCAGGGGCCUCGAGGGCUCGAAUACAAGUGCUCGAUCAUAGACGAGUCAGCGGAAGCAACAAUAUCUGAGUACAGACAUAAGUUAAACAAGUUUGCCUUAAGAAGGCUAGCACAAACUGGGAUACAGAUCGAAAGAGGCGCAGGCCUCCUGCCUGGGAUCCUCCUAACUACUCCUGGUCGUCGUCAGCGGGCUGCACGUAGUAGUAGGCACCUCCGGUGUAGUAGGGGGUCGUCGUCGAUGGUGGCGUCUGGCUCCAGGGCUCCAGCAUCUGGUUGCGACAACCAGGUAGAAGGGAAAAAGGGAAAAGAGGGGGAAAAGCAACCGUGAGUACUCAUCCAAAGUACUCGCAAGCAAGGAGCUACACUACAUAUGCAUGGAUAUAUGUGUAAAGGGCCAUAUCAGUGGACUGAACUGCAGAAUGCCAGAAUAAGAGGGGGAUAGCUAGUCUUAUCGAAGACUACGCUUCUGGUCACCUCCGUCUUGCAACAAGUAGAAGAGGGUAGGUUGAAGUCCUCCAAGUAGCAUCUCCACUGUAGAAUCUCCAAAUAGCAACUCCAAGUAACAACUCCAGUAGCAUCUCCAGCAGCAUCGCAGUAGCAUAAUCCUACCCGGCGAUCCUCUCCUCGUCGCCCUGUUGAAAAGCAAUCACCGGGUUGUCUGUGGAACUUGGAAGGGUGUGUUUUAUUAAGUAUCCGGUUCUAGUUGUCAUAAGGUCAAGGUACAACUCCAAGUCGUCCUGUUACCGAAGAUCACGGCUAUUCGAAUAGAUUAACUUCCCUGCAGGGGUGCACCAACUUACCCAACACGCUUGAUCCCAUUUGGCCGGACACACUUUCCUGGGUCAUGCCCGGCCGCGGAAGAUCAACACGUCGCAGCCCCACCUAGGCACAACAGAGAGGCCAGCACGCCGGUCUAAACCUAAGUGCACAGGGGUCUGGGCCCAUCGCCCAUAGCACACCUGCACGUUGCGAGGGCGGCCGAAAGCAGACCUAGCCUAGUGGCGUUCCAGUCCAAUUCGGCGCGCGCCGCUCCGUCGCUGACGUCUGAAGUGCUUCGGCUGAUACCACGACGUUGGGAUACCCAUAACUACUCCCGCGUAGAUGGUUAGUGCGUAUAAGCUCGUAGCCAACUCAGAUCAAAUACCAAGAUCUCGUUAAGCGUGUUAAGUAUCCGCGAACACCGAACAGGGCCAGGCCCACCUCUCUCCUAGGCGGUCUCAACCUGCCCUGUCACUCCGCCACAAAGAUCCACACAGAGGGCCGUCGGGACAAAGGUCCUUUCAGCCCCCAAUCCGUGAAUCACUCGCGGGUACUCUUCGAGCUGACCCGACUUUAGUCACCAUCUGUAUAGUAUGUAUGUAUGUAUAGUAUAUACCCGUGAUCACCUACCGAGUGAUCACAGCCCAAUAGUAUAGCAAGGCAGACCGACAAGAAUGUAGGGCCAAUGAUGAUAAACUAGCAUCCUAUACUAAGCAUUUAGGAUUGCAGGUAAGGUAUCAACAGGUGUAGCAACAAUGUCAGGCUAUGCAUCAGAAUAGGAUCAACGGAAAGCAGUAACAGGCUACACUACUCUAAUGCAAGCAGUAUAGAAGAGAAUAGGCGAUAUCUGGUGAUCAAGGGGGGGGCUUGCCUGGUUGCUCUGGCAAGAAGGAGGGGUCGUCAACUCCGUAGUCGAACUGGGCAGCAGCAGCGUCGGUCUCGUAGUCUACCGGAGAUAAGAGGGGGGAAGAAACAAUGAAUACAAUGCAAACAUAAACACGACGAUGCAUGACAUGACAAUGAGCGGUGCUAGGUGUGCCCUAACGUGGUAUGAGGUGGUACCGACGAAGGGGGGAAACAUCCGGGAAAGUAUUCCCGGUGUUUCGCGUUUUCGGACAGAUGAACCAGAGGGGGAAAGUUGCGUGUUUGAUAUGUUAGGGGUGUGUGGUGGACGAACGGGCUGCGUAUCCGGGUUCGUCUCGUCGUUCUGAGCAACUUUCGUGUUGAAAAUAUUUUAAUCCGAGUUACGGAUUAAAAGAUAUGAUUUUCUAAAGAUUUUAUUAAUUUCUGGAAUUUAAUUAGUUAUUUAAAUUAAUUCAAAAAUGGAAUAAUGACAUCAGCAUGAUGUCAUGCUGACAUCAGCAGUCAACAGAGUUGACUGGUCAACUGACGUGUGGGUCCCAGCUGUCAUUGACUGUUAACUAACCUAAUAGAUUAAUUAACUAACUAGGUGAUUAGGUUAAUCUAAUCAGGAUCAAUUAAGUUAAUUAAUUCUCUAAUUAAUUAACUAAUUAAUAUUUUAAUUAUUUUAAUCAUUUAUUUAUUUUAUUAAAUCUUUUUUUUUAAUUUUCGUUCUAGGGCCUGGGCCCCUCAUGUCAUAGGCACAGGGGCCUUAGCGGGUUCGGGCGCAACGGGCGCGGUUGCGGGCAACGGGCACCGGUGUGCGGGCGUGGUGGCCGGCCCCAACAGGGCGCCCGAGGGGGGGCGCCGGCGAGGCGNNNNNNNNNNNNNNNNNNNNNNNNNNNNNNNNNNNNNNNNNNNNNNNNNNNNNNNNNNNNNNNNNNNNNNNNNNNNNNNNNNNNNNNNNNNNNNNNNNNNNNNNNNNNNNNNNNNNNNNNNNNNNNNNNNNNNNNNNNNNNNNNNNNNNNNNNNNNNNNNNNNNNNNNNNNNNNNNNNNNNNNNNNNNNNNNNNNNNNNNNNNNNNNNNNNNNNNNNNNNNNNNNNNNNNNNNNNNNNNNNNNNNNNNNNNNNNNNNNNNNNNNNNNNNNNNNNNNNNNNNNNNNNNNNNNNNNNNNNNNNNNNNNNNNNNNNNNNNNNNNNNNNNNNNNNNNNNNNNNNNNNNNNNNNNNNNNNNNNNNNNNNNNNNNNNNNNNNNNNNNNNNNNNNNNNNNNNNNNNNNNNNNNNNNNNNNNNNNNNNNNNNNNNNNNNNNNNNNNNNNNNNNNNNNNNNNNNNNNNNNNNNNNNNNNNNNNNNNNNNNNNNNNNNNNNNNNNNNNNNNNNNNNNNNNNNNNNNNNNNNNNNNNNNNNNNNNNNNNNNNNNNNNNNNNNNNNNNNNNNNNNNNNNNNNNNNNNNNNNNNNNNNNNNNNNNNNNNNNNNNNNNNNNNNNNNNNNNNNNNNNNNNNNNNNNNNNNNNNNNNNNNNNNNNNNNNNNNNNNNNNNNNNNNNNNNNNNNNNNNNNNNNNNNNNNNNNNNNNNNNNNNNNNNNNNNNNNNNNNNNNNNNNNNNNNNNNNNNNNNNNNNNNNNNNNNNNNNNNNNNNNNNNNNNNNNNNNNNNNNNNNNNNNNNNNNNNNNNNNNNNNNNNNNNNNNNNNNNNNNNNNNNNNNNNNNNNNNNNNNNNNNNNNNNNNNNNNNNNNNNNNNNNNNNNNNNNNNNNNNNNNNNNNNNNNNNNNNNNNNNNNNNNNUGUGUGUGUUUCUCUUUUGUAUUUCCUUUCUUUUAUUUAUUUCUUUCCUGUUUAAAUUCAUCUAAAAGUAAUUAGGCAUUUUAUAAAAAGGUGUUUACUACGCCAUAAUUACCGAUGCAAUAUUAGACAUGGCCCGAACAUUUUAUUUUAAUAUUUGAAAACUUUUGACGUUUGACUUAUUUAGGAUUUAAAUUUGAAACGGCUUUGAAUUAACCCGAGAUUAAUUACAGUGACAGAGGUGACGUGUCACCAUUAACGUGAGAUCACUGUAGCAUGAUUAUCCGGGUGUUACAGAAAGGCACAUAAGCAAAAUUAUCAAAACGUCGUGGACAAAACCUCCUAAUGAACCUAUGAUCAACAUGCAUACAUUUAGUUUCUUGGAGGCAGACCAUAGAACAAACACUUUCAUCAAUCUUCUGUUUAACAAAAAGUUGUCGCGCUUCAGAAUUAAGGCCACAUACGUUCCAACAAAGCACCUUCCAAUCUUUAAACCCAAACUGAUUCAUUACAGACCAUAAUAAGUUGCAGCAAAAGUAGAUCACGCAAUGAUCAACACAGACCAGCUAAGCAUAGCAAAAAGACAGAGUUCCAAACAUAAAAACAGAAAUAAAGAUAGAUGACGUUUAAAGUGGCACGCCAUGGACCAUGAAGCUGCAUUAUGUGAUCAAUCAUCGGAACUCUUGCUGCUGGUAGAUUUAGCUGGAUUAGCCACAAGCUUUUCCGCGGUGAUCUUCUCCGGGGUGAUGCGCAGACGAGUCCCAAUACGCUGAAGAUCAGCAAUGGCAGUUGGUGGUGGCACCGCUGAAGCUCCAUCAGACUUAGCCAAUUUGGUCUUGCGCUUCUUCAGAGUGUGAGGAGAUUUGUUCUGACAUUUAGACUUGCUAGUGCCACUGCUUGGCACAUUACGGUAACCAUCGCAUAAAUCACUAAGGCAUACACUGCGGCGAACUUCAGUGUCCACCAAAAUUGCAGUCCUCUGCUUUCUAUCACGUUUCAGAGUCACUUUCAAUAUGUAUCCAGAUUGAGACUUGAGUCAUCUGGAUCGGUGUAAAAGCUUGCAUCGACGUAACUCUUUACGGCAAACUCUUUUUAUCACCUCCAUAAUCGAGAAACAUUUCCUUAGUCCUCACUAAGGAUAAUUUUGACCACUGUCCAGUGAUCUAUUCUUAGAUCACUAUUGUACCCCCUUGCCAAACUCAUGGCAAGGUACACAAUAAGUCUGGUACACAACACAACAUACUUUAUAGAACCUAUGACUGUGACAUAGGGAAUGACGUUCAUUCUUUUCUAUUUUCUACCAUGGUCGGGCUUUGAGUCUUACUCAACUUUACACCUUGUAGUAUAGACAAGAAUUCCUUCUUUGACUGAUCCAUUUUGAACUCUUUCAAAAACUUGUCAAGGUAUUUUCUCAUUGAAAAAUCUUAUCAAGCGUCUUGAUCUAUCUCUAUAGAUCUUGAUGCCCAAUAUGUAAGCAGCUUCACCGAGGUCUUUCAUUGAAAAACUCUUUUUCAUGUAUCCCUUUAUGCUAUCCAGAAAUUCUAUAUCAUUUCCAAUCAACAAUAUGUCAUCCACAUAUAAUAUUAGAAAUGCUACAGAGCUCCCACUCGUUUUCUUGUAAAUACAGACUUCUCCAAAAGUCCGUAUAAAACCAUAUGCUUCGAUCAACUCAUCAAAGCGUAUAUUCCAACUCCGAGAGGCUUGCACCAGUCCAUAGAUGGAUCACUGGAGCUUGCACACUUUGUUAGCAACUUUAGGAUUGACAAAACCUUCUGGUUGCAUCAUAUACAACUCUUCUUUAAUAAAUCCAUUAAGGAAUGCAGUUUUGACAUCCAUUUGCCAGAUUUCAUAAAAUGUGGCAAUUGCUAACAUGAUUCGGGCAGACUUAAGCAUCAAUACGAGUGAGAAAAUCUCAUCGUAUUCAACACCUUGAACUUGUCGAAAAACUUUUUGCGACAAGUCGAGCUUUGUAGAUAGUAACACUACUAUCAGCGUCUGUCUUCCUCUUGAAGAUCCAUUUAUUUUCUAUGGCUUGCCGAUCAUCGGGCAAGUCCACAAAAGUCCACACUUUGUUCUCAUACAUGGAUACCAUCUCAGAUUUCAUGACCUUCAAGCCAUUUCACGGAAUCAGGGCUCAUCAUCGCUUCCUCAUAGUUCAUAGGUUCAUCAUGGUCUAGUAACAUUACUUCCAGAACAGGAUUACUGUACCACUCUGGUACGGAUCUUACUCUAGAAGACCUAUGAGGUUCGGUAGUAACUUGAUCUGAAGUUUCAUGAUCAUCAUCAUUAGCUUCCUCACUAAUUGGUGUAGGAAUCACUGGAACUAAUUUUUGUGAUGAACUACUUUCCAAUUCGGGAGAAGGUACAAUUACCUCAUCAAGUUCUACUUUCCUCCCACUCACUUCUUUCGAGAGAAACUCCUUCUCUAGAAAGGAUCCAUCUUAGCAACAAAUAUCUUGCCUUCGGAUCUGUGAUAGAAGGUGUACCCAACAGUUUCCUUUGGGUAUUCUAUGAAGACACACUUCUCCGAUUUGGGUUCGAGCUUAUCAUGUUGAAACUUUUUCACAUAAGCAUCGCAACCCCAAACUUUAAGAAACGUCAACUUUGGUUUCUUGCCAAACCACAGUUCAUAAGGCGUCGUCUCAAUGGAUUUUGAUGGUGCCCUAUUUAAAGUGAAUGCAGCUGUCUGCAUAAGCCCAAAACGAUAAUGGUAAAUCGGUAAGAUACAUCAUAGAUCGCACCAUAUCCAAUAAAGUCCGGUUACGAUGUUCGGGCACACCAUUACGCUGUGGUGUUCCAUGUGGCAUGAGCUGUGAAACUAUUCCACAUUGUUUUAAUGAAGGCCAAACUCGUAACUCAAAUAUUCUCCUCUACGAUCAGAUUGUAGAAACUUUAUUUUCUUGUUACAAUGAUUCUCCACUUCACUCUGAAAUUCUUUGAACUUUUCGAAUGUUUUAGACUUGUGCUUCAUUAAGUAGAUAUACCCAUAUCUGCUCAAAUCAUCUGUGAAGGUCAGAAAAUAACAAUACCCACCACGAGCAUCAACACUCAUUGGACCGCAUACUUCGGUAUGUAUUAUGUGCAACAAGUCAGUAGCUCGUUCCAUUGUUCCGGAUAAUGGAGUUUUAGUCAUCUUGCCCAAAAGGCACAGUUCAUAAGCAUCAAAUGAUUCAUAACCAAGUGAUUCCAAAAAUCCAUCUUUAUGGAGUUUCUCCAUGCGCUUUACACUGAUAUGACCCAAACGGUAGUGCCACAAAUAAGUUGCACUAUCAUUAUCAACUUUGCAUCUUUUGGCAUCAAUAUUAUGAGUAUGUGUAUCACUACGAUCGAGAUCCAACAAACUAUUUUCAUUGGGUGUAUGACCAUCGAAGGUUUUAUUCAUGUAAACAGAACAACAAUUAUUCUCUGACUUUAAAUGAAUAACCGUAUUGCAAUAAACAUGAUCAAAUCAUAUUCAUGCUCAACGCAAACACCAAAUAACAUUUAUUUAGGUUUAACACUAACCCCGAAAGUAUACGAAGUGUGCGAUGAUGAUCAUAUCAAUCUUGGAACCACUUCCGACACACAUCGUCACUUCACCCUCAACUAGUCUCUGUUUAUUCUGUAACUCAUGUUUCGAGUUACUAAUUUUUAGCAACCGAACAAGUAUCAAAUACCCAGGGGUUACUACGAGCACUAGUAAGGUGCACAUAAUAAUAUGUAUAUCAAAUAUACCUUUGUUCACUUUGCCAUCCUUCUUAUCCACCAAGUAUUUGGGGCAUUUCUACUUCAAGUGACCAUUUCCUUUGCCAUAGAAGCACUCAGUUUCAGGCUUUGGUUCAACUUUGGGCUUCUUCAUGGGAGAGACAACUUGCUUGCCAUUCUACUUGAAGUUUCCCUUUCUUUCCCUUUGCCCUUUUCUUGAAACUAGUGGUCUUGUCAAUCAUCAACACUUUGAUACUCUUUCUUGAUUUCCACCUUCGUCGAUUUCAGCAUCACGAAGAGCUCGGGAUUCAUUUUCGUCAUCCCUUGCAUACUAUAGUUCAUCACGAAGUUCCAGUAAGUUGGUGAUGGUGACUAGAGAACUCUGUCAAUCACUAUCUUAUCUGGAAGAUUAACUCCCACUUGAUUCAAGUCAUUGUAGUACCCAGACAUUCUGAGCACAUGCUCACUAGUUGAGCAAUUCUCCUCCAUCCUUUUUAGGCAAAGUACUUCUCAGAGGUCUCAUACCUCUUAACGGGGGCAUGAGUCUGAAAUACCAAUUUCAGCUCUUGGAGCAUCUCAUAUGCUCCGUGACAUUUCAAAAACGUUUCUGAAGUCGCGUUUCUAAGCCGUAAAGCAUGGUGCACUAAACUAUCAAGUAGUCACCAUAUUGAGCUAGCCAAACGUUCAUAACAUCUGCAUCUGCUCCUGCAAUAGGUCUGUCACCUAGCGGUGCAUCAAGGACAUAAUUUUUCUGUGCAGCAAUGAGGAUAAUCCUCAGAUCAUGGACCUAGUCCGCAUCAUUGCUACUAACAUCUUUCAACAUAGUCUUCUCUAGGAACACAUAUAAAAACAUAGGGAAGCAACAACGCGAGCUAUUGAUCUACAACAUUAUUUGCAAAAUACUAUCGGGACUAAGUUAAUGAUAAAUUAAUGUUCAAUUAAUCAUAUUACUUAAGAACUCCCACUUAGAUAGACAUCCCUCUAGUCAUCUAAAUGAUUAUGUGAUCCAAAUCAACUAAACCAUGUCUGAUCAUCACGUGAGAUGGAGUAGUUUUCAAUGGUGAACAUCACUAUGUUGAUCAUAUCUACUAUAUGAUUUACACUCGACCUUUCGGUCUCAGUGUUCCGAGGCCAUAUCUGCAUAUGCUAGGCUCGUCAAGUUUAACCCGAGUAUUUCUGCAUGUGCAGAACUGGCUUGCACCCGUUGUAUGUGGACGUUGAGCUUAUCACACCCGAUCAUCACGUGGUGUCUCAGCACGACGAACUUUGGCAAUGGUGCAUACUCAGGGAGAACACUUAUACCUUGAAAUUUUAGUAAGGGAUCAUCUUAUAAAGCUACCGCCGAACUAAGCAAAAUAAGAUGUAUAAAAGAUAAACAUCACAUUCAAUCAAAAUAUGUGACAUGAUAUGGCCAUCAUCGUCUUGUGCCUUUGAUCUCCAUCUCCAAAGCAUCGUCAUGAUCUCCAUCGUCACCGGCAUGACACCAUGAUCUCCAUCAUCUUGAUCUAUAUCAAUGUGUCGUCACAUGGUCAUCUUGCCAACUAUUGCUCUUGCAACUAUUGCUAUCGCAUAGCGAUAAAGUAAAGCAAUUAUUUGGCGCUUGCAUCUUAUGCAAUAAAGAGACAACCAUAAGGCUUCUGCCAGUUGCCGAUAACUUCAACAAAACAUGAUCAUCUCAUACAACAACUUAUAUCUCAUCACGUCUUGACCAUAUCACAUCACAACAAGCCCUGCAAAAACAAGUUAGACAUCCUCUACUUUGUAGUUGCAUGUUUUACGUGGCUGCUAUGGGCUGAGCAAGAACCGUUCUUACAUAAGCAUCAAAACCACAACGAUAUUUCGUCAAGUUAGUGAUGUUUGAACCUUCAUCAAGGACCGGGUGUAGCUACACUUGAUUCAACUAAAGUUGGAGAAACUGACACCCGCCAGCCACCUAUGUGCAAAGCACGUCAGUAGAACCAGUCUCGCGUAAGCGUACGCGUAAUGUCGGUUCGGGCCGCUUCGUCCAACAAUACCGCUGAAUCAAAGUAUGACAUGCUGGUAAGCAGUAUGACUUGUAUCGUCCACAACUCACUUGUGUUCUACUCGUGCAUAUAACAUCUACGCAUAAACCUGGCUCGGAUACCACAGUUGGGGAACGUAGUAAUUUCAAAAAAAUUCCUACGAUCACACAAGAUCUAUCUAUGUGAUGCAUAGCAACGAGAGGGGGAGUGUAUCUUCAUACCCUUGAAGAUCGCUAAGCGGAAGCGUUUUAUCAAUGCGGUUGAUGUAGUCAUACACCUUCACGAUCCGCCCCGAUCAAGUAUAGAAUGUACGGCACCUCCGCGUUCAGCACAUGUUCAGCUCGAUGACGUCCUCGCCUUCUUGAUCCAGCAAGACGGCGAAGUAGUAGAUGAGUUCCGGCAGCACGACAGCGUGAUGACGGCGUUGGUGAAGAACAAUCUCCGCAGAGCUUCGCCUAAGCACUACGGAAACUAUGACAGAGGAUAAACUAGAGGGGACGGGGUUGCCGGCACAUGGCUUGGUGUUUCUUGAUGUGUCUUUGGUGCUAGCCCUGCCCCUCUAUUUAUAUGUUGAGCCUUGUGGUUGAAACUUGGAGUAAAAGCCUCCACAAAGUUGGUUUCACCCGAAAGGCAAGAGUCCUUCUUGGACUCCAGGGCCAGACACCAGGGUUCCCGGUGUCUAGACCCAGACGCCAGCUGGACUCUGCAAAACUUCCUUUUGCGCUUUCCAAAAACCUCAUGGGCUUUCCCCUUUGGCCCAAAUAAAGUGUUCUCGUACCCAAACAUUACGGGAAACAUCCGGAACCCUUUCCGGUGAAUUCUGGAACCCUUCCGGAGACCAAACACUAUUAUCCCAUAUAUCAAUCUUUAUCUCUGGACCAUUUCGGAGUUCCUCGUCAUGUCCGUGAUCAUAUCCGGGACUCCAAACAACAUUCGGUCACCAACAUACAUAACUCAUAUAAUACUAUAUCGUCAACGAACGUUAAGCGUGCAGACCCUACGGGUUCGAGAACUUUGUAGACAUGACCGAGACACCUCUCUCGUCAAUAACCAAUAGUGGAACCUGGAUGCCCAUAUUGGCUCCUACAUAUUCUACGAAGAUCUUUAUCGGUCGAACCGCAUAACAACAUACGUUGUUCCUUUUGUCAUCGGUAUGUUACUUGCCUGAGAUUCGAUCGUCGGUAUCUCAAUACCUAGCUCAAUCUUGUUACCAGCAAGUCUCUUUACUUGUUACGUAAUGCAUCAUCCCGCAACUAACUCAUUAGUCACAUUGGUUGCAAGGCUUAUAGUGAUGUGCAUUAUCGAGAGGGCCCAGAGAUACCUCUCCGACAAUCGGAGUGACAAAUCCUAAUCUCGAUCUAUGCCAACUCAACAAGUACCAUCGGAGACACCUGCAGAGCACCUUUAUAAUCACCCAGUUACAUUGUGACAUUUGGUAGCACACAAAGUGUUCCUCCGGUAAUUGGGAGUUGCAUAAUCUCAUUGUUGUAGGAACAUGUACAAGUCAUGAAGAAAGCAAUAGCAGUAAACUAAAACGAUCGAGUGCUAAGCUAACGGAAUGGGUCAAGUCAAUCACAUCAUUCUCCCAAUGAUGUGAUCCCGUUUAUCAAAUGACAACUCAUGUCUAUGGUUAGGAAACCUUAACCAUCUUUGAUCAAUGAGCUAGUCAAGUAGAGGCAUACUAGUGACACUCUGUUUGUCUAGGUAUUCACACAUGUACUAAGUUUCCGGUUAAUACAAUUCUAGCAUGAAUAAUAAACAUUUAUCAUGAUAUAAGGAAAUAUAAAUAACAAAUUUAUUAUUGCCUCUAGGGCAUAUUUCCUUCAACUACUCCCUCCUCAUCAUGGUGGCUGUCGGGAUGAUGAAGAUGGCCUUUGGUGAUGAUUUCCCCCUCCGGCAGAGUGUCGGAACAGGUUCCUGAUUAGUUUUUCGUGGCUACAGAGGCUCGCGGCGGCGGAACAUCUGGUUUAGUGUUAUUUCCGGGGGUUUCUUUAUUUAUAGGAUUCUUUAGCGUCGGUCUUACGUCUAGAUGGGCUUCGAGGGGCCCGCUACCAUCCAGCACAUGCCGGAGGGGGCAGUCGCACGCUGGUGGGUAGUGGCCACCUCCUGGCUCUUCUGGCCCUCCCAUGAAGCUUCUAGUGCCUCUUCUCUUGGAAAAAAAUCGUCAAAAAGUUUUGCUGCAUUUGGAGAACUUUGAUUUCUGCACAAAAAACAACACCACGGUAGUUCUGCUGAAAACAACGUCAGUCCAGGUUAGUUUCAUUUAAAUCAUAUAAAAUUGCGCCCAAACCAUAUAAAAUUGUUGUAAACAUGGCAUGAAUACUUCAUAAAUUAUAGAUACGUUGGAGACGUAUCAGGAAGCAAUCUCAGAAAAUGUAGAAUCACAUAAUUAAAGUGAUAAUCACCUACCAUAAAAGAAGGAAGCAAAAUGGGCAAAGAGGCAAUUGUCGCAGAACCACCAGAGCAAAAGAUGACGUUCCAUACGACCGCGCCCGCCCGUAUGAGCGGUCAUAUGGAGAGUCAUCGCCAUCGCCUUGUCAACUAUAUUCACCCCCAUGAAGACAGAUCGUGGAUCAGACACCGAGAGACACCAGAAACUCGUCAAGAAGCAGGAACCCUAGCUGCCAGAGUGAUCUCGAGGAAGGAUACUACAAAAGGGAGGCCGCCGCCUCCACCAUCUUCAUCCAGAAGGCUCCAACAUCAUCCCCACUAUCAUCAUCAUCUUCAUUCACCUCUCCCUUAUUGUAACCUCGAGAAUCCUAAACGGGCGCUACUUGUGUGUUACAUGUGUGAUUUGUUCAUGUCCUUUAUGCUCUGGUGUUAUGAUGAUUGUUGCCUUCAUGAGUGUGUAGAUCCCUUAGUUCUCCGGAAUAGGGAAGAACCCUGGUGUGUAAUAGAUCAUUGAUAUUAGGAUUUAAUAUCCUAUUUGCAUGUUCAUGUCAAUAGUCUUCUUGACGUUGGGUGAAAUCGACCAUCUAACGGUAUGCCAAUUUUGGACGGAAGGUUAUUACUGUUGGCAGACCUAUUAGGAAACGUAACAUGCAAUUUCAAAAAAUUUCCUACACUAACGCAAGAUCUAUCUAGGAGAUGCAUAUCAAUGAGAGGGGGAGAGUGUGUCUAUGUACCCUCGUAGACCAAAAGCAGAAGCGUCUGACAACAUGGUUGAUGUAGUCGAACUUCUUCUAGCUCCGACCGAUCAAGUUCUGAACGCAUGUCACCUCCGAGUUCUACACACGUUCAACUCAAUGAUGUUCCUUGCCCUCUUGAUCUACCAAGGUAUCGAGGAAGUAGAUGAGUUCCGUUAGCAUGAAGGCAUGGUGACGGUGAUGGUGAAGUGAUACACGCAGGGCUUCGCCUAAGCACCACGACAAUAUGACCGGGGGUGUAAACUGUGGAGUGGGGCGCCGCGCAUGGCUAACAGUUGAUGUUAUCUAUUGUAGGCGCCCCCUCCCCACAUAUAUAUAGGUUGGAGUGGACGAGAGGCAGCCAAGGGGUCACCCCAAGUAGGUCGAAUCCUACUUGGGGUCCUCCCCAAUUCGGCCUCCCCCCUUCCAUAAUUGUCGAGGGGGAAAAGGAAGGAGGAAGGAGAAAAGGAAAGGGGGGCCGAAUCCCCUCUUUCCCUUCUCCCACUCGGCCUCCUUCCANNNNNNNNNNNNNNNNNNNNNNNNNNNNNNNNNNNNNNNNNNNNNNNNNNNNNNNNNNNNNNNNNNNNNNNNNNNNNNNNNNNNNNNNNNNNNNNNNNNNNNNNNNNNNNNNNNNNNNNNNNNNNNNNNNNNNNNNNNNNNNNNNNNNNNNNNNNNNNNNNNNNNNNNNNNNNNNNNNNNNGAUAAAUACCCGAUAUACUCCGGAACAAUUCUGGUGUCCGAAUACUAUCAUUCCAUAUAUCAAUAUAUACCUCUCGACCAUUUCGAGACUCCUCUUCAUGUCUGUAAUCUCAUCCAGGACUCCGAACAACAUUCAGUAACCAAAUUACAUAACUCAUAUAAUACAAUAUUGUCAUCAAACGUUAAGCGUGCGGACCCUACGGGUUCGAGAACUAUGUAGACAUGACCAAGACACCUCUUCGGUCAAUAACCAAUAGUGGAACCUGGAUGCUCGUAUAGGAUUCCACAUAUUCUACGAAGAUCUUUAUCGGUUGAACCAUUAUGACAACAUACGCUAUUCCCUUUGUCAUUGAUAUGUUACUUGCCCGAGAUUCGAUCAUCGGUAUCUUCAUACCUAGUUCAAUCUCGUUACCGGCAAGUCUCUUUACUAGUUCCGUAAUACAUCAUCCUAUAACUAACUCAUUAGUCACUUUGCUUGCAAGGCUUCUUAUGAUGUGUAUUACCGAGAGGGCCCAGAGAUACCUCUCCGAUACUCGGAGUGACAAAUCCUAAUCUCGAUCUAUGCCAACCCAACAAACACCUUCGGAGAUACCCGUAGAGCAUCUUUAUAAUCACACAAUUAUGUUGUGAUGUUUGAUAGCACAUAAGGCAUUCCUCUGGUAUCCGGGAGUUGCAUAAUCUCAUAGUCGGAGGAAUAUGUAUUUGACAUGAAGAAAGCAAUAGCAAUAAAACUGAAUGAUCAUAGUGCUAAGCUAACGAGUGGGUCUUGUUCAUCACAUCAUUCUCCUAAUGAUGUGAUCCUAUUUAUCAAAUGACAACACAUGUCUAUGGUUAGGAAACUUAACCAUCUUUGAUCAACGAGCUAGUCUAGUAGAGGCUUACUAGGGACACAAUAUUUUGUCACCUCCACAUGUAUCCACACAUGUAUCAAGUUUCCGGUUAAUACAAUUCUAGCAUGAAUAACAAACAUUUAUCAUGAAAUAAGGAAAUAUAUUAGAUAACAACUUUAUUAUGGCCUCUAGGGCAUAUUUCCUUCAGUCUCCCACUUGCACUAGAGUCAAUAAUCUAUAUUACAUUGUAAUGAUUCUAACACCCAUGGAGUCUUGGUGUUGAUCAUGUUUUUCUCGUGGAAGAGGCUUAGUCAACGGGUCUGCUAUAUUUAGAUCCGUAUAUAUCUUGCAAAUCUCUAUGUCUCCCUCCUUGACCAGAUCACGGAUGGAGUUGAAGCGUCUCUUGAUGUGUUUGGUCUUUUUGUGAAAUCUGGAUUCCUUUGCUAAGGCAAUUGCUCCAGUAUUGUCACAAAAGAUUUUCAUUGGACCUGAUGCACUAGCUAUUACACCUAGAUCGGAUAUGAAGUCCUUCAUCUAGACUCCUUCAUUUGCUGGUUCCGAAGCAGCUAUGUACUCUGCUUCACACGUAGAUCUUGCCACGACGCUAUGCUUGGAACUGCACCAACUGACAACUCCGCCAUUCAAUAUAAAUACGUAUCCGGUUUGUGACUUAGAGUCAUCCGGACCAGUGUCAAAACUAGCAUUGACGUAACCAUUUACGACGAGCUCUUUGUCACCUUCAUAAACGAAAAGCCUAUCCCUGGUCCUCUUCAGGUACUUCAGGAUAUUCUUGAUCACUAUCCAGUGAUCCACUCCUGGAUUACUUUGGUACCUCCCUGCCAGACUUAUGGCAAGGCACACAUCAGGUCUGGUAUACAACAUAGCAUACAUUAUAGAACCUAUGGCUGAGGUACAGGGAAUGACUUUCAUUUUCUCUCUAUCUUCUGCAGUGGUCGGGCAUUUAGUCUGACUCAAUUUCACACCUUGUAACACAGGCAAGAACCAUUUCUUUGACUGGUCCAUUUUGAACUUCUUCAAAACUUUAUCAAGGUAUGUGCUUUGUGAAAUUCCUAUUAAGCGUCUUGAUCUAUCUCUAUAGAUCUUGAUGCCCAAUAUAUAAGCAGCUUCACCGAGGUCUUUCAUUGAAAAACUUUUAUUCAAGUAUCCUUUUAUGCUAUCCAGAAAUUUUACAUCAUUUCCAAUCAACAAUAUGUCAUCCACAUAUAAUAUUAGAAAUGCUACAAAGCACCCGCUCACUUUCUUGUAAAUAGAGGCUUCUCCAAAAGUCUGUAUAAAACCAUAUGCUUCAAUCACCUCAUCAAAGCGUAUAUCCCAUCUCCGAGAUGCUUGCACCAGUCCAUAGAUGGAUCGCUGGAGCUUGCACACUUUGUUAGCACCUUUAGGAUCAAGAAAACCUUCUGGUUGGAUCAUAUACAACUCUUCUUUAAGAAAUCCAUUAAGGAAUGCAGUUUUGAUGUCCAUUUGCCAGAUUUCAUAAUCAUAAAAUGCGGCAAUUGCUAACAUGAUUCAGACAGACUUAAGCAUCGCUAUGGGUGAGAAAGUCUCAUCGUAGUCAGCUUCUUGAACUUGUCGAAAACCUUUUGUGACAAGUAGAGCUUUAUAGACAGUAACAUUACCAUGAGCGUUGGUCUUCUUCUUGAAGAUCCAUUUAUUCUCUAUGGGUUGCCGAUCAUUAGGUAAAUCUACCAAAGUCCACACUUUGUCCUCAUACAUGGAUCCUAUCUCGGCAUGGCCUCAAGCCAUUUAUCGGAAUCUGGGCUCAUCAUAGCUUCUUCAUAGUUCAUAGGUUCGUCAUGGUCUAGUAACAUGACUUCCAGAAUAGGAUUACCGUACCACUCUGGUGCGGAUCAUGCUCUAGUUGACCUACGAGGUUCAGUAGUAACUUGAUCUGAAGUUUCAUGAUCAUCAUCAUUAGCUUCCUCUCUAGUUGGUGUAGGCAUCACGGGAACGGAUUUCUCUGAUGAGCUACUUUCCAAAUCGAAAGAAGGUACAAUUACCUCAUCAAGUUCUACUUUUCUCCCACUCACUUCUUUCGAUAGAAACUCCUUCUCUAGAAAGGUUCCAUUCUUGGCAACAAGGAUCUUACCUUCGGAUCUAUGGUAGAAGGUGUACCCAAUUGUUUCCUUAGGGUAUCCUAUGAAGACACACUUCUCCAAUUUGGGUUCGAGCUUAUCAGGCGGAAGCCUUUUGACAUAAGUGUAGCAACCCCAAACUUUAAGAAACGACAACUUAGGUUUAUUGCCAAACCACAGUUCAUACGGUGUCGUCUCAACAGAUUUAGACGGUGCCCUAUUUAACGUGAAUGCAGUUGUCUCUAAUGCAUAACCCCAAAACGAUAGUGGUAAAUCAGUAAGAGACAUAAUAUAUCGCACCAUAUCUAAUAAAGUACGGUACGAUGUUCGGACACACCAUUACGCUGUGGUGUUCCAGGUGGCGUGAGUUGUGAAACUAUUCCACAUUGUUUUAAAUGAAGGCCAAACUCGUAACUCAAAUAUUCACCUCCGCGAUCAGAUCAUAGAAACUUCAUUUUCUUGUUACGAUGAUUCUCCACUUCACUUUGAAAUUCUUUGAACUUUUCAAAUGUUUCAAACUUGUGUUUCAUUAAGUAGAUAUACUCAUAUCUGAUCAAAUCAUCUAUGAAGGUCAGAAAUAACAAUACCCGCUGCGAGCCUCAACACUCAUCGAACCACAUACAUCGGUAUGUAUUAUUUCCAAUAAGUCAUUGGCUCACUCCAUUGUUCCGGAGAACGGAGUUUUAGUCAUCUUGCCCAUAAGGCAUGGUUCGCAAGUAUCAAGUGAUUCAUAAUUAAGUGAUUCCAAAAGUCCAUCUGCAUGGAGUUUCUUCAUGCGCUUUACACCAAUAUGACCUAAACAGUAGUGCCAUAAAUAUGUUGCACUAUCAUUAUCAACUUUGCAUCUUUUGGCAUCAAUAUUAUGAAUAUGUGUAUGACUACAAUCGAGAUUCAACAAAAAUAGACCACUCUUCAAGGGUGCAUGACCAUAAAAGAUAUUACUCAUACAAAUAGAACAACCAUUAUUCUCUGAUUUAAAUGAAUAACUGUCUCACACUAAACAAGAUCCAGAUAUAAUGUUCAUGCUCAACACUGGCACCAAAUAACAAUUAUUCAGGUCCAAAACUAACUCCGAAGGUAGGUGUAGAGGUAGUGUGCCGACGGCGAUCACGUCAUCUUUGGAACCAUUCCCGACGCGCAUGUCGCCUCGUCCUUAGCCAAUCUUCGUUUAAUCCGUAGUCCCUGUUUUGAGUUAAAAAUAUGAGCAACCGAACCGGUGUCAAAUACCUAGGCACUACUAUGAGCAUUAGUAAGGUACACAUCAAUAACAUAUAUACCAAAUACACCUUUGUUCACUUUGCCAUCCUUCUUAUCCGCCAAAUACUUGGGGCAGUUCCGCUUCUAGUGACCAGUCCCUUUGUAGUAGAGGCACUCAAUUUUAGGCUUGGGUACAACUUUGGGCUUCUUCCCGGGAGUGGCAACUUGCUUGCCAUUCUUCUUGAAGUUCCCCUUCUUUCCCUUGCCCCUUUUCUUGAAACUAAUGGUCUUGUUAACCAUCAACACUUGAUGCUCAUUCUUGAUUUCUACCUCUGCAGCUUUGAGCAUAGCGAAGAGCUCGGGAGUUGUUUUCUCCAUCCCUUGCAUAUUAUAGUUCAUCACGAAGCCUUUGUAGCUUGGUGGCAGUGACUGGAGAACUAUGUCGAUAAUACUAUCAUCUGGAAGAUUAACUCCCAGCUGAGUCAAGUGAUUAUGAUAUCCAGACAUUCUGAGUAUGUGUUCACUGACAGAAUUGUUCUCCUCCAUCUUGCAGCUAUAGAACUUGUUGGAGACUUCAAAUAUCUCAACUCGGGCAUUUGCUUGAAAUAUUAACUUCAACUCUUGGAACAUCUCAUAUGCUCCAUGACAUUCAAAACCUCUUUGAAGUCCCGAUUCUAAGACGUAAAGCAUGGCAUACUAAACUAUCGAGUAGUCAUCAGAUCAAGCUUUCCAGACAUUCAAAACAUCAGCAUCUGCUCUUGUAGCAGGCCUUUCACCUAGCGGUGCAUCAAGGACAUAAUUCUUCUAUGCAGCAAUGACCCAGUCCGUGUAGUUGCUACCAUCAUCUUUCAACUUAGCUUUCUCUAGGAACGCAUUAAUAUUCAAGGGAACGGUAGCACGGGCCAUUGAUAUACAACAUAGAUAUGCAAAUACUACCAGGACUAAGUUCAUGAUAAAUUAAGUUCAAUUUAUCAAAUUACUUAAGAACUCCCACUUAGAUAGACAUCCCUCAAGUCAUCUAAAUGAUACGUGAUCCAAAUCAAAUAAACCAUGUCCGAUCAUCACGUGAGAUGGAGUAGUCAUCAAUGGUGAACAUCUUUAUGUUGAUCAUAUCUACUAUAUGAUUCACAUUUGACCUUUUGAUCUCCAGUGUUCUAAGGCCAUGUAUGUACAUGCUAGGCUCGUCAAGUUUAACCCAAGUAUUCCGCAUGUGCAAAACUGUCUUGCACCCGUUGUAUGUGAACGUAGAGCUGUCACACCCGAUUAUCACGUGGUGUCUCAGCACGACGAACUGUCUCAACGGUGCAUACUCAGUGAGAACACAUAUACCUUGAAAUUUAGUUAAGGGAUCAUCUUAUAAUGCUACCGUUGUACUAAGCAAAAUAAGAUGCAUAAAGAUAAACAUCACAUGCAAUCAAAAUAUGUGACAUGAUAUGGCCAGCAUCAUCUUGUGCUUUUGAUCUCCAUCUCCAAAGCAUCGUCAUGAACUCCAUUAUCACCGGCUCGACACCUUGAUCUCCAUCAUUGCGUCGUGGUCAUCUCUCCAACUAUUGCUUCUACAACUAUCGCUACCGCUUAGUGAUAAAGUAAAGCAAUUACAUGGCGUUUGCAUUUCAUACAAUAAAGAGGAGACAACCAUAAGGCUCCUGCCGGUUGCCGAUAACUUUUGCAAAAUGUGAUCAUGUCAUACAAUAAUGUAUAUCACAUCAUGUCUUAACCAUAUCACAUCAAAAGCAUGCCCUGCAAAAACACGUUAGACGUCCUCUAUUUGUUGUUGCAAGUUUUACAUGACUGCUACGGGCUUCUAGCAAGAACCAUUCUUAUUUACAGCACAAAAACCACAACAGUGAUUUAUCAAGUUUGCUGUUUUAACCUUCAACAAGGACCAACGGCAGUCAAAUUUGAUUCAACUAAAGUAGGAGAAACAUACACUCACCAGCCACCUUUAUGCAAAACUAGUUGCAUGUCUAUCGGUGGAACGAGUCUCAUGAACAUGGUCAUGUAAGGUUGGUCUGGGCAGCUUCAUCCAACAAUACUGCCGAAUCAAAAUAAAGACAUUGGUGGUAAGCAGUACAAUGAUCACCGCCCACAACUCCUUGUGUUCUACUCGUGCAUAUCAUCUAUGCAUAAACCUGGCUCUGAUACCACUAUUGGGAAACGUAGCAUGCAAUUUCAAAAGAAUUCCUACGCUCAUGCAAGAUCUAUCUAGGAGAUGCAUAGCAAGGAGAGGGGGAGAGAGUGUCUACCUACCCUCAUAGACCAAAAGCGGAAGCGUUUGACAACGCGGUUGAUGUAGUCAAACUUCUUCUAGCUCCGACCGAUCAAGUACCGAACGCACAGCCCCUCCAAGUUCUACACAUGUUCAGCUCGAUGAUGUUCCUCACCCUCUUGAUCCAGAAAGGUGUCGAGGAAGUAGAUGAGUUCCGUCAUCACGACGGUGUUGUGACGGUGAUGGUGAAGUGAUUCACGCAGGGCUUCGCCUAAGCACAACGAUAAUAUGACCGGGGGUGUAAACUAUGGAGGGGGGCGCCGCACAUGGCUAACAGUUGAUGUUAUCUAUUGUAGGCGCCCCCUCCCCACAUAUAUAUAGGUUGGAGGGGAGGAGAGGCAGCUAAGGAGGCUCCCCAAGUAGGCCGAAUCCUACUAGGGGUCCUCCCCAAUUCAGCCUCCUGUUGGGGAACGUAGCAUGCAAUUUCAAAAAAAAUCCUACAAUCACGCAAGAUCUAUCUAGGAGAUGCAUAGCAACGAGAGGGGGAGAGUGUGUCCACAUACCCUCGUAGAUCGAAAGCGGAAGCGUUAGUUAACGUGAUUGAUGUAGUCGAACGUCUUCAGGAUCCAACCAAUCCAAGUACCGUCCGUACGACACCUCCGAGUUCAGCACACGUUCAGCUCGAUGACGUCCCUCAAACUCUUGAUCCAGCAGAGGGUCGAGGGAGAGUUUUGUCAGCACGACAGCAUGGUGACGGUGUUGAUGAUGUGAUCUACGCAGGGCUUCGCCUAAGCACUACGAUGAUAUUAUCGGAGGAGUAAAUGAUGGAGGGGGGCACCGCACACGGCUAAGACAAUGUUGUGUCUUUGGGGUGCCCCCCUGACCCCGUAGAUAAAGGACUGAGGAGGAGGCCGCCACCAGGGGCGUGCCAAGGGAGGGGGUAGUCCUACUAGGACUCCACUCCUUGUAGGAUACGCCCCCCUCUUUUUUUCCUUCAUACGGAGGUGGAAAGGGGGAAGGAGAGGGAGUAGGAGAAGGAAAGGGGGAGGCGCCCCCUUUCCCUAGUCCAAUUCGGCCUCCUCCCUUGUGGGGGGUGCACCAGCCCCUUGUGGGCUGGUUAGCCUCCCUCCGAUGGCCCAUAUGGCCCAUAUCUUCCAUCGAGGGGUCCUGGUAACCCUUCCGGCACUCCGGUUUGUACCCGAUACACUCCGGAACCCUUCUAGUGUCCGAAUACCACCUUCCAAUAUAUCAAUCUUUACCUCUCAACCAUUUCGAGACUCCUCAUCAUGUCCGUGAUCUCAUCCGGGACUCCGAACAAACUUCGGUCAUCAAAACACAUAACUCAUAAUACAAAUCGUCAUUGAGCGUUAAGCGUGCGGACCCUACGGGUUUGAGAACUAUGUAGACAUGACCGAGACACAUCUCCGGUCAAUAACCCAUAGCGUAAUCUAGAUGCUCAUAUUGGCUUCUACAUAUUGUACGAAGAUCUUUAUCGGUCAAACUGCACAACAACAUACGUUGUUCCCUUUGUCAUCGGUAUGUUACUUGCCCGAGAUUCGAUCAUUGGUAUCAUCAUACCUAGUUCAAUCUUGUUACCGGCAAGUCUCUUUACUCGUUCUGUAAUGCUUCAUCCCGCAACUAACUCAUUAGUUCCAUUGCUUGCAAGGCUUAGAGUGAUGAGCAUUACCGAGAUGGCCCAGCGAUACCUCUCCGAUACACGGAGUGACAAAUCCUAUUCUCGAUAUAUGCCAACCCAACUAACUCCUUCGGAGACACCUGUAGAGAAUUAUUAUAAUCACACAUUUACGUUGUGACAUUUUAUAGCACACAAGGUGUUCCUCCUGUAUUCGGGAGUUGCAUAAUCUCGUAGUCAUAGGAACAUGUAUAAGUCAUGAAGAAAGCAAUAGCAAUAAAACUUAUCAAUCAUUAUGCUAAGCUAAUGGAUGGGUCUUGUCCAUCACAUCAUUCUCUAAUGAUGUGAUCCAGUUUAUGAAAUGACAACACAUGUCUAUGGUCAGGAAACAUAACCAUCUUUGAUUAACGAGCUAGGCAAGUAGAGGCAUACUAGGGAUACUUUGUUUUGUCUAUGUAUUCACACAUGUACUAAGUUUCGGGUUAAUACAAUUCUAGCAUGAAUAAUAAACAUUUAUCAUGGUAUAAGGAAAUAUAAAUAACAACUUUAUUAUUGCCUCUUAGGGCAUAUUUUCUUCAGUCUCCCACUUGCACUAGAGUCAAUAAUCUAGUUCACAUCGCCAUGUGAUUUAACACCAAUAGUUCACAUCUGUAUGUGAUUAACACCUAUAGUUCACAUCACCAUGUGACCAACAACCAAAGGGUUUACUAGAGUUAAUAAUCUAGUUCACAUCACUAUGUGAUUAACACCCAAAGAGUACUAAGGUGUGAUCAUGUUUUGCUUGUGAGAGAAGUUUAGUCAACGGGUCUGCUAAAUUCAGAGCCGUAUGUAUUUUGCAAAUUUUCUAUGUCUACAAUGCUCUGCAUGGGGCUACUCUAGCUAAUUGCUCCCACUUUCAAUAUGUAUCCAUAUGGAGACUUAGAGUCAUCUGGAUCGGUGUAAAGCUUACAUCGACGUAACUCUUUACGAAGAACUCUUUAUCACCUCCAUAACCGAGACAUACUUCCUUAGUCCUCUUAGGUAACUAAGGAUAGCUUUGACUGCUAUAUAGUGAUCCACUCCUGGAUCACUAUCGUACCCCCUUGCCAAACUCAUAGUAAGGCACACAACUUGUCUGGUACAUAACAUGGCAUAUUUUAUAGAACCUAUGACUGAGGCAUAGGGAAUGACUUUCAUUCUCUUUCUAUCUUCUGCUGUGGUCGGGCUUUGAGUCUUACUCAACUUUACACCUUGUAAUAUAGGCAAUAACUCAUUUGACUGAUCCAUUUUGAACUCUUUCAAAAUCUUGUCAAGGUAUGUACCCAUUGAAAAAUCUUAUCAAGCAUCUUGAUAUAUUUCUAUAGAUCUUGAUGCCCAAUAUGUAAGCAGCUUCACCGAGGUCUUUCUUUGAAAAUCUCCUUUCAGACUCUCCUUUAUGCUUUCCAGAAAAUUCUACAUUGUUUCUGAUCAACAAUAUGUCAUUCACAUAUACUUAUCAGAAAGAAUGUAGUGCUCCCACUCACUUUCUUGUAAAUACAGGCUUCACCGCAAGUCUGUAUGAAACUAUAUGCUUUGAUCAACUCAUCAAAGCGUAUAUUCCAAUCUGAGAUGCUUGCACCAGUCCACAGAUGGAUCGCUGGAGCUCGCACACUUUAUUAGCACCUUUAGGAUUGACAAAACCUUCUGGUUGCAUCAUAUACAACUCUCCUCAGAGAUAUCCAUUUAAGGAAUGCAAUUUUGACAUCCAUUUGCGAGAUUUCAUAAAAUAUGGCAAUUGCUAACAUGAUUUGAAAGGACUUAAGCAUUGCUACGAUUGAGAAAAUCUCAUUGUAGUCAACAUCUUGAACUUGUCAAAAACCCUUUUGCGACUAGUCAAGCUUUGUAGAUAGUAACACUACCAUUAGCGUCCGUCUUCCUCUUGAAGAUCCAUUUAUUUUCUAUAGAUUACCGAUCAUCGGGCAAGUCCACCAAAGUCCAUACUUUAUUCCCAUACAUGGAUCCCAUCUCAGAUUUCAUGGCCUCAAGCCAUUUCACGGAAUCUGGGCUCAUCAUCGCUUCCUCAUAGUUCGUAGGUUCAUCAUGGUCUAGUAGCAUGACUUCCAGAAUAGGAUUACCGUACCACUCUGGUGUGGACCGUACUCUGGUUGACCUAUGAGGUUUGGUAGUAACUUUAUCUGAUGUUUCAUGAUCAUCAUCAUUAGCUUUCUCACUAAUUGGUGUAGGAAUCACUAGAAGUGAUUUCUAUGAUGAACUACUUUCCAAUUCAGGAGAAGGUACAAUUACCUCAUCAAGUUCUACUUCCUCCCACUCACUUCUUUGAAGAGAAACUCCUUCUCUAGAAAGGAUCCAUUCUUAGCAAUGAAUAUCUUGCCUCAGAUCUGUGGUAGAAGAUGUACCCAACAAUUUCCUUUGGGUAUCCUAUGAAGACACACUUCUCCAAUUUGGGUUCGAGCUUAUCAGGUUGAAUCUUUUUCACAUAAGCAUCGCAACCUCAAACUUUAAGAAAUGAUAGCUUAGGUUUGUUGCCAAACCACAAUUCACACGGUGUUGUCUCAACGGAAUUUGACGGUGCCUUUUUUAAUGUGAAGGCAACUGUCUCUAAUGCAUAACCCCAAAACGAUAGUGGUAAAUCGGUAAGAGACAUCAUAGAUCGCACCAUAUCUAAUAAAGUGCGGUUACGAUGUUCGGACACACCAUUACACUGUGGUGUUCAAGGUGGCGUGAGCUAUGAAACUAUUCCACAUUGUUUUAAAUGAAGGCCAAACUCGUAACUCAAAUAUUCACCUCCACAAUCAGAUCGUAGAAACUUUAUUUUUUUGUUACAAUGAUUCUCCACUUCACUCUUUAAUUCUUUGAACUUUUCAAAUGUUUCAGACGUGUGUUUCAUUAAGUAGAUAUACCCAUAUCUGCUCAAAUCAUCUAUGAAGGUCAGAAAUAAUGAUACCUGCCACGAGCCUCAACACUCAUCGGACCGCAUACAUCGGUAUGUAUUAUUUCCAAUAAGUGAUUAGCUCGGUAUAUUGUUCUGGGGAACAAAGUUUUAGUCAUCUUGCCCAUAAGUCACGGUUCGCAAGUAUCAAAUGAUUCAUAAUCAAGUGAUUCCAAAAGCCCAUCAGCAUGGAGUUUCUUCAUGUGAUUUAUACCAAUAUGACCUAAACGGCAGUGCCAUAAGUAUGUUGCACUAUCAUUAUCAACUUUGCAUCUUUUGGCAUCAAUAUUAUGAAUAUGUGUAUCACUACGACCAAGAUUUAGUAAACCAUCAACAUUGGGUGUAUGACCAUAGAAGGUUUUAUUCAUGUAAAUAGAAUAACAGUUAUUCUCUGUCUUAAAUGAAUAACCGUAUUGCAAUAAACACGAUCUAAUCAUAUUCAUGCUUUGACACAAACACCAAAUAACAUUUAUUUAGGUUCAACUCUAAUCCCGAAAGUAUAGGGAUGUGCGAUGAUGAUCAUAUCAAUCUUGGAACCACUUCCAACAUACAUCGUCACUUCGCCCUCAACUAGUCUCUAUUUAUUCUGCAACUCCUGUUUCGAGUUAUUAAUCUUAGCAACUGAACAAGUAUCAAAUACCCAGGGGUUACUACGAGCACUAGUAAGGUAACAUCAAUAACAUGUAUAUCAAAUAUACCUUUGUUCACUUUGCCAUCCUUCUUAUCCACCAAAUAUUUGGGGUAACUCUGCUUCCAGUGACCAUUUCCUUUGUAGUAGAAGCACUUAGUUUCAGGCUUAGGUCCAGCUUUGGGCUUCUUCACGUGAGUGAUAACUUGCUUGCCAUUCUUCUUGAAGUUCCCUUUCUUUCCAUUUGCCCUUUUCUUGAAACUAAUGAUCUUGUUUAAUCAUCAACAAUUGAUGCUUUUUCUUGAUUUCUAUCUUUGUUGAUUUCAGCAUCACGAAGACCUUGGGAAUUGCUUUUGUCAUCCCUUGCAUAUUAUAGUUCAUCAUGAAGUUCUAGUAACUUGGUGAUGGUGACCAGAGAACUCUGUCAAUCACUAUCUUAUCUGAAAGAUUAACUCCCACUUGAUUCAAGCGAUUGUAGUACCCAGACAUUUUGAGCACAUGCUCACUAGCUGAGCUAUUCUCCUCCAUCCUUUUAGGCGAAGUACUUGUCCGAGGUCUCGUACCUCUUUACACGGGUGAGGGAGUCCUGGAUUGAGGGGUCCUCGGGCGUCCGGACUAUUGACAUGGGCCGGACUGAUGGGCUGUGAAGAUACAAGACCGAAGACUCUCUCCCGUGUCCGGAUGGGACUCUCCUUGGCGUGAAAGGCACGCUUGGCGACUGGAUAUGAAGAUUCCUUUCUCUGUAACCGACUUUGUACAACCCUAGUUCCCUUCGGUGUCUAUAUAAACCGGAGGGUUUAGUUCGUAGGGAAGGAUCAUAAUCAUUCAGGCUAGACUUUUAGGGUUUUAGCCAUUACGAUCUCAUGGUAGAUCAACUCUUGUAAUACUCAUAUUCAUCAAGAUCAACCAAGCAGGAAGUAGGGUAUUACCUCCAUAGAGAGGGCCCGAACUUGGGUAACAUUGUGUCCCCCGCCUCCUGUUACCAUCAACCUUAGACGCACAGUUCGGGACCCCCUACCCGAGACCCACCGGUUUUGACACCGACAUUGGUGCUUUCAUUGAGAGUUCCGCUGCGUCGUCACCAAAAGGUUUGAUGGCUCCAUCAAUCAUCUUCAACAAUGUGGCCCUGAGGGAGGUUUUCCUCCCCGGCCAGAUCUUUGUGUUCGGCGGCUUCACACUGCGGGCCAACUCACUUGGCCGUCUAGAGCAGAUCGACAACUGUGCCCCAGGUCACCAGAUUAGUUUUGGGAAUCUGGACUAUGUCGUUGAUAUCCAAGGAGACUUGAUCUUCCAAGGAUUCGCGCCCCCAACCCCCGCUCUGGCCUCAGAUCCGGAGCGCAUCGCUAGGUUCGAAGACAAGCUCCCUAAGCUCGCCGGGCCAUCUGCGGCUUUUAGGCCUGUCGUGUGAGAGCCGGAGGAAGUAGUGUUGCUGGCAACCAUCAUGAAGCCGAACCCUCCUCUGGACACUGGCUCCAAAUCUUCGGAGCCAACACUGUGCAAGCUCGUCCAAGGAGUCUCCUUCUCACUGCACCCAAUGAAUUCCCUUCUCUCGGGCCAAACCUCGCCUUUAAGCGAGGCCCUGGACUUGAUGCGAUCCCUCAUCAUUACAGAGGAGCAACGUCCGAACUAUGCUCAGCCUGGACUAGGGGCUGAGAGCAUGGGAUUUUACAUCCCACCCAGCACCCACUUUAUAGCCAAUGUUGAGAACUUAACAGACAUGCUCGAUUACGACUCUGAAGACAUUGACGGUAUGGAUGAUGAUGCCGCAGAAGAGGAGACCAAAAACCCGCCGUUUACCGGACACGGGAUGGCCACCUCUUCAUAUGAUCUGUACAUGGUGGAUGCACCUAAAGAGAAUAACGGCGACAAUGAAAAAGAUCCAGUCGAGGAUAAUACUCCUGAGAUACGGACAAAGCGCCGGCGUCAGCGGUGCCACUCUAAACCACAUCAUGGAAAAAACAACAAUACUAGCAUAGGGGAAAAUAGUACUCUGGACAAUGCCGAAGACAAUGAAGACCCCAUUGAGCCAACCUCAGUACAGGACUAACAGGAAGAUGGGCAAGUUAGCCCUGAUGAACAGGCCAUGAACAAAGACUCAGAGGACAGUAACUACCUUCCGCUCUCCGAGGAUGAGGUGAGCCUCGGCAACGAGGAUUUUAUCGUGCCUGAGGAACCUCUCAAGCAGGAGCGCUUCAAGCAUCAGCUAAUAGCCACUUCAAGGAGCCUGAAAAAGAAGCAGCAACAACUUCAAGCUGAUCAAGAUCUGCUCAACGAUAGGUGGACUAAUGUCCUAGCAGCCGAAGGGUACGGCCUCAAGCGCCCAACCAAAAGUUACCUGAAGCGCAAAUUGUUACCCCAAUUCGAUGACGAGGCGCUGGAGCCCGUCCUACCAGCGCAUAAUGCGGCUGACCGACCACCAUGUGUCCGGGACGAAGCGGCAACUCGAGCCGAACACCAGCCCGCACUACCUCGGCGUAAAAAUAAAGACACAAUAGCUCGGGGAUACACAUAUGACCCGUGGCAUGACCUGGAAAAUAGAGCAGGCCAGACUAGAUUGAUCUAUGGAUCGCGGGGGUGCGCCCCGAUGCACGAUGAUGGCCAUCCGUCCAGACGCGACAAACAUAAUCACGUCCGGGCCUAAAACCGCAAACAAACUCCAUCCAAGCUACGUCGCGAUAUAGAGGCGCCACACACCCCCUUUGCUUCACUGAUGAAGUAAUGGAACACGAAUUCCCGAAACGGUUUAAACCCAUGAAUAUCGAAUCAUACAAUGGAACAACAGACCCCGCGGUAUGGAUUGAAGAUUUCCUCCUCCAUAUCCACUUGGCCCGCGGCGAUGACCUCCACGCCAUCAAAUACCUCCCAUUAAAACUAAAGGGGCCAACACAACACUGGGUGAACAACCUCCCUGAGAACUCCGUCGGCAGCUGGGAAGACUUGGAAGACGCCUUCCGCAAUAACUCCCAAGGUACAUAUAUUCGGCCUCCGGAUGCCGAUAACCUAAGUCACAUCAUCCAACGGCUCGGGGAGUCUGCCAGGAAGCUCUGGACUAUGUUCUUAAUCAGAAAUAACCAAAUUGUCGAUUGUUCGGACGCCGAAGCCCUCGUGGCCUUUAAACAUAGCGUCCGAGAUGAGUGGCUCACCCGCCACCCUGGUCAAGAAAAACUAAGAUCCAUGGCUGCCCUUACCACUCUGAUGACCCGUUUUUGCGCGGAAGAAGAUAGCUGGCUCGCUCGUAGAAGCAACAACACCAAUGAUCCGGGCACUUCCGAAGUUCGAGAUGGCAACGGCAAGCCAUGACACAAUAAACACAAGCGUCACAAUAACAAUGCAGGAACGCAAGAUACUGCGGUCAACGCCGGAUUCAGUGGUUCCAAACCCGGUCAACGGAAAAAACCAUUCAAGGCCAACAGAGACAGACCAUUCAAUUUAGACAAGAUACUGGAUUGGCCCUGCCAGAUUCAUGGCACUCCCAUUAAACCAGCCAAUCACACCAACAGGAGCUGUUGGGUUUUCAAACAAGUCAGCAAGCUUAAUGCCGAACACAAGGCAAAGGGGCCGCCCAGUGACAAUGAUGACGAAGAGACUCGCGAGCCGAACACCGGGGGUCAGAAGCAAUUCCCUCCGAAGUAAAAACAGUGAACAUGAUAUACGCGAUGCACGUCCCUACAGGGGUCUGCAAGCGCGCGCUACGGGACGCCGACGCCAUAGAGCCAGCCACCCCAAAAUUAAACCAAUGGGCAGCCCGCCCGAUCACUUUUGGUCGCAAGGACGACCCGGCCAGUAUCCUUCACGAAGGUCCGGCAGCUCUCAUCCUUGAUCCAAUUAACGAUGGGCUCCAUCUCACGGAAGUCCUUAUGGACGGCGGCAAUAGUCUUAACCUACUUUAACAAGACAUUGUCCGCAAAAUGGGCAUUGAUCCCUCAAGAAUCAGGCCCACCACAACUACCUCCAAGGGAACAAUAUCCGGCGUAGAAGCUCACUGCACGGGCUCGAUUACAUUGGAAGUCAUUUUUGGCUCGCCGAACAACUUUUGAAGCGAAGCCUUGACCUUCGAUAUUGUCCCGCUCCGCAGUAGCUGCCAUGCACAACUCGCACGUACCACUUUUGCUCGUUUUAAUGCGGUCCCACAUUACACCUAUCUCCAACUUAAGAUGCCUGGUCCACGCGGCAUCAUCACGAUAAACAGAAAAUCAGAAUGCUCCCUCUAUACAUAGGAGCAUACUAUGGCUACUGUGGCCAAAGUAUCAAGCGGCCUUAUCAAGCUGCACAUUUCGUCGGCCAUCAAGCCGCCGGUCUUCAUUAGACAUGACCAAUCAAUCUCAGAGCUGAAUUAGCAGUUCGGCCUCCGCCAUCUGCCCCAUAUAAGUCGCGGAGUUUGUCCCACGCACAUAAUUAUACACUUAAAAUACCCUGGUCACCGACGGAGGCACAAUGCGGACAGUCCUAUAACACUAUCCGCACUCUCAUAUUCUUUUUUUCUUUUUGUAACCAUUUUUUAUCUUUUACCAUAGGUGACCAUAUUUGCUGAGAAGUCCUUUAACCAAGGCAAGGUAGCGCAAACGUGCGACAAGAGGUCCAAAUGUUUUUGUAGACCGCACUCUUUAUUUCAAUCCUAUAAAGUUCCCUUUUUCUCAGCUCUCGACCCCCGACACGCCAAAUAGCCUUGGUAGUACGUAUUCAGUAUUCGCUUUCCUCAAAGAACUGGAUGUCGCUUUCGUGGUUACUUCACGCAUGCACCUCGGCAUAUGUUGCCAGGGGCUCAAUAUGGCAACAUAUGAGUUACCGGCAAGUCUGAACAGCUUUAUAGCAUACUUCGGUGUCAUGAGUUUAGCCUUAUAUGCAUCAACUCUGAAUCAUGUCUUGGGUCAAUAGUUGGGUUGCCCGGCUCCUGUGCUUACUACCUUAUGUUCCGCUCUUGAUAUCCCGCAAGUAUACGGGAUCGCAACAGUUUUCGAUAAGUAAGAGUGUCGAACCCGACGAGGAGCUAAAGGUAGAAUAAAUAUUCCCUCAAGUUCUAUCGACCACCGAUACAACUCUACGCACGCUUGACAUUCGCUUUACCUAGAACAAGUAUGAAACUAGAAAUACUUUGUAGGUGUGAUAGGCUAGGUUUGCAAGACAAUAAAGAGCACGUAAGUAAAAAGUAGGGUCUUUUUAGAUAAAGACACAACUAAAGUAAGUAUUAGUAGAGAGCUUUUUGUUAUGAGAAAGUUAUUUGUCCAAGGCAAUCGAUAACUAGACCGGUAAUCACUGUUGCAAUUCUAUUUGAGGGAGAGGCAUAAGCUAACAUACUUUCUCUACUUGGAUCAUAUGCACUUAUGAUUGGAACUCUAGCAAGCGUCUGCAACUACUAAAGAUUCAUGAAGGUAAAACCCAACCACAACAUUAAAGUAUCAAGUCCCCUUUUAUCCCAUACGCAACAAUCCCCUUACUCGGGUUUGUGUUUCAGUCACUCAUGCAACCCACUAUAAGCGAAUCAUGAACGCAUUGCAACACCCUACAGUGGGAAUCCCUCAUGCUUGCGCGACACGGAGGGCACCAUAGGACAGCACCAAUAAUAAAACAUGCAACUCAAACCAAUCACGAUCAUCAAUUAACCCAUAGGACAAAACGGAUCUACUCAAACAUCAUAAGAUAGCCAUACAUCAUUGGGAAAUAAUAUAUAGAGUUGAGCACCAUGUUUAUGUAGAGAUUACAGCGGGUAAGAGAGAGGUUACACUGCUGCAUAGAGGGAGGAAGAGUUGGUGAUGAAGGCGGUGAAGUUGUUGGUGAAUAUCGCGGUGAUGAUGAUGGCCCCCGGCAGCGUUCCGGCGCCACCGGAAGCAAGGGGGAGAGAGCCCCCCUUCUUCUUCUUCUUAUUCCUUGACCUCCUCCCUAGAUGGGAGAAGGGUUUCCCCUCUAGUCCUUGGUCCCAUGGCUGGGAGGAGCGAGAGCCCCUCCGAGAUUGGAUCUAUCUCUCUGUUUCUACGUUCUUAGAUUCUACCCCUUCACCGUUUCUUAAAUAUCCUGAGAUCCGUAACUCUGAUUGGGGUGAAUCUUUCGCCCAGAUCUUUCUCAUAAAAUUAGCUUUCUUGCGCCAAAAGAAGAGCGUCAACCGCCUUACGGCUGGCCCACGAGAGCCCAGGCCGCGCCCAGGGGGGAGGGCGCGCCCCCCUGUCUCGUGGCCACCCCGGACACUGUUUCGCGUUGAUUUUACUUCCCAAAAAUCAUAAAUAUUCCAAAAAAAAUCUCUGUCCGUUUUUAUCCCGUUUGGACUCCGUUUGAUAUUGGGUUUCUGCAAAACAAAAAACAUGCAACAGACAGGAACUGGCACUGGGCACUGGAUCAAUAUGUUAGUCCCAAAAAUAGUAUAAAAAGUUGCCAAAAGUAUAUGAAAGUUGAAUAAUAUUGGCAUGGAACAAUCAAAAAUUAUAGAUAUGACGGAGACGUAUCAGCAUCCCCAAGCUUAAUUCCUGCUCGUCCUCGAGUAGGUAAAUGAUAAAAAAAAGAUAAUUUUUGAUGUGGAAUGCUACCUUGCAUAAUCUUGAUCAUAUGUCUAUUCAUGGCAUGAAUAUUAAGACACGAGUGAUUCAAAGCAAUAGUCUAUCAUUUGACAUAAAAACAAUAAUACUUCGAGCGUACCAAUAAAGCAAUCAUGUCUUUUCAAAACAACAUGGCCAAAGAAAGUUAUCCCUACAAAAUCAUAUAGUCUGGCUGUUGCUCUAUCUUCAUCACACAAAGUAUUUAAUCAUGCACAACCCCGAUGAUAAGCCAAGCAAUUGUUUCAUACUUUAGUAAUCUCAAACCUUUUCAACUUUCACGCAAUACAUGAGCGUGAGCCAUGGAUGUAGCACUAUAGGUGGAAUAGAAUAUGAUGGUGGGGUUUAUGUGGAGAAGACAAAAAAGGAGAAAGUCUCACAUCGACUAGGCGUAUCAACGGGCUAUGGAGAUGCCCAUCAAAAGAUAUCAAUGUGAGUGAGUAGGGAUUGCCAUGCAACGGAUCCACUAAAGCUAUAAGUGUAUGAAAGCUCAAACUGAAACUAAGUGGGUGUGCAUCCAACUUUCUUGCUCAUGAAAACCUCGGGCAUUUGAGGAAGCCCAGCAUCGGAAUAUAUAAGCCAAGUUCUAUAAUGAAAAUUCCCACUAGUAUAUGAAAGUGAAAGCAUAGGAGGCUCUCUCUAUGAAGAACAUGGUGCUACUUUGAAGCACAAGUGUGGUAAAAGGAUAGUAACAUUGCCCCUUAUCUCUUUUUCUCUCAUUUUUUUUCUUUUAUUUUUCAUUUUUUUAAAUUUCUUUCUUUCUUAUUUUUUUCUUUUUGGUGGGCUUCUUUAGCCUCUUUUUUUAUUUGGGCUUCUUUGGCCUCUUUUAUUUUUUAUAAAGUCCGGAGUCUCAUCCCGACUUGUGGGGGAAUCAUAGUCUCCAUCAUCCUUCCUCACUGGGGUAAUGCUCUAAUAAUGAUGAUCAUCACACUUUUAUUUACUUACAACUCAAUAUCUAGAACAAAGAUAUGACUCUAUAUGAAUGCUUCCGGCGGUGUACCGGGAUGUGCAAUGAUCUAGCAUAGCAAUGACAUAAAAAAAACGGACAAGCCAUGAAAACAUCAUGCUAGCUAUCUUACGAUCAUGCAGAGCAAUAUGACAAUGAAUGCUCAAGUCAUGUAUAUGAUGAUGAUGGAAGUUUCAUGGCAAUAUAUCUCAGAAUGGCUAUGGAAAUGCCAUGAUAGGUAGGUAUGGUGGCUGUUUUGAGAAAGAUAUAAGGAGGUUUAUGUGUGAUAGAGCGUAUCAUAUCACGGGGUUUGGAUGCACCGGUGAAGUUUGCACAAACUCUCGAGGUGAGAAAGGGCAAUGCACGUUACCGAAGAGUCUAGCAAUGAUGGAAGGGUGAGAGUGUGUAUAAUCCAUGGACUCAACAUUAGUCAUAAAGAACUCAUAUACUUAUUGCAAAAAUCUACAAGCUAUUGAAAACAAAGUACUACGCACAUGCUCCUAGGGGGAUAGAUUGGUAGGAAAAGAAAAGACCAUCGCUCAUCCCCGACCGCCACUCAUAAGGAAGACAAUCAAUAAAUAAAAUUGUGCUCCAACUUCAUCACAAAGCGGUUCACCAUACGUACAUGCUACGAGAAUCACAAACCUCAACACAAGUGUCUCUACAAUCCACAACCACCCACUAGCAUGACUCUAAUAUCACCAUCUUUAUAUCGCAAAACUAUUGCAAGGAAUCAAACAUAUCAUAUUCAGCGAUCUACAAGUUUAUGUAGGAUUUUAUGACUAACCAUGUGAAUGACCAAUUCCUGUCAUCUCUCUAAAUAGAUAUAAGUGAAGCAAGAGAGUUUAAUUCUUUCUACAAAAGAUAUGCCCACGCUCUAACAAGUAUAAGUGAAGCAAAAGAGCAUUCUACAAAUGGCAGUUUUCUAUGUGAAGAGAAACAGGCAAUCCAAACUUCAAAUGAUAUAAGUGAAGCACAUGAAGCAUUCUAUAAAGCCAUACUCAAAAGAUUUAAGUGAAGUGCAAUGAGCAUUCUAUAAAUCAACCAAUGACUAUCUCAUACCAGCAUGGUGCAUAAAAGAAAAAUGAAAACUAAAUGCAAAAGACGCUCCAAGACUUGCACAUAAUGCAUAAACGAAACGAAUACGAAAACAUACCGAUACUUGUUGAAGAAAGAGGGGAUGCCUUCCGGGGCAUCCCCAAGCUUAGACACUUGAGUCUGCUUGAAUAUUUACUUGGGGUGCCUCGGGCAUCCCCAAGCUUGAGCUCUUGCCUCUCUUCCUUUUCCUCAUAUCGAGACCUCCUCGUUUAGACACUUCAUCCACACAAAACUUCAACAGAAAACUCGGUAAGAUCCGUUAGUAUAAUAAAUCAAAUCACCACUCUAAGUACUAUUGCAAACCAAUUCAUAUUUUGUUUUUGCAUUGUGUCUACUGUAAUAUAACUUUUCCAUGGCUUAAUCCACUAAUAUAAAUUGAUAAAUUCAUCAAAACAAGCAAACUAUGCAUCAAAAACAGAAUCUGUCAAAAACAGAACAGUCUGUAGCAAUCUGAACAUCCACCAUACUUCUGGUACCCCAAAAAUUAUACCAAAAUUAGGAAAAAUAAACAAGUUGUAUAUAAAGACAGUGCAAAAGGAAUCAAAACCAAUUGACGUCGCGCACUACAAACAAAGUUUCUGUCCUGCACCGUACAAACCAACAAGCAUUGUAAACAUUAUAAAGGCAAACCUUGGCACAUUAUUUUUAUAAUACAAUGGAAUUAUACAAGGGAUAAUUAUUUUUGAUGAAAAGUUUCUGUAAUCAAGAUUCACAAAGUUUCCAUGAGCAUGAACAAAGUUCAAGGCUAGCUCCCACUUCAACAAUGCUUGUCUUUCUCACUUUCACUUUCCUUUUUGAAAAGUUUUUAGGUUCCCCUCUUUAUUUUUUUGUUUUUAAAUUAUAUGAAAGCACUCAACGGAAAUAAAUGACUCUCUAAAACUUCCGGGUUGUCUCCCUGGCAGCGCUUUCUUUAAAGCCAUUAAGCUAGGCAUUUAGUGCUCAAGUAAUGGAUCCACCCGGAUCCCAAGGUAUAUCAAAGCCAAUUUUAAUUAACAAUGAUUUGCAAUUUAGUAGUGAGCACAAAGUAAUAUAUAUCAUGCAACAACGAAGUCUAACUCUCUUCCUAUGCAUCAGCAUGUCAUAAAGAACAAUUCAUGCACACCAAGUAAAGGCCAAUGCAUAGUAUAAGCAGUUUCUUGCAAUUUCAUCGUUUGGGAAACAUAGAGAGGUGAAGAUGUAGUUCCUCUCUCAUAAUAAUUGCAAGUAGGAGCAGCAAGCACAUGCAUAUUACAUUCAUCAAAAUCAUCAUGUGCAAUGGUAAAAGACAACCCAUCAAUAUAAUCCUUAAUAAGCACAAACUUCUCCGAUAUAGUGUAGGUAGGAGAAUUCAAAAAGAUAAUAGGACUAUCAUGCGUGGGUGCAAUAGCAACAAUUUCAUGUUUAACAUAAGGAACUAUAGCAAGUUCAUCUCCAUAAGCAUAAUUCAUAUUGGCAUCUUGGCCACAAGCAUAACAAGCAUCAUCAAAAAGGGAUAUUUCAAACAAAUUCAAGGGAUCAUAGCAAUCAUCAUAGCAAUCAUCCUUCGAUAAGCACGAAGGGGAAUUAAAUAAUGUAUGAGUUGGAGGGUUACUCUCAUUAGAAGGUGGGCACGGGUAGCUAAUCCGCUCUUCCUCCUUUUGUUCUUCGCUCUCCUCAUCAUCUUUUUCAUCCAAUGAGCUCACAGUUUCAUCAAUUUCUUCUUCCAUAGCUUCCUGCAAAAUAUUAGUCUCUUCUUGGACAACAGAGAAUUUCUCAAUAUAUGGUUUAACAUUGGCAUUAGAAGCAUAAUUAUCAUAACAAUAUUCAAGUAUGGCAAAACUUUCAGAUUUGUAAAGAGUAGCAUCAUACUUUUCAAUCAAAGAAGCAAUUUCAAAAGCACCCUUAAAAGCAACAAAUUCUUCAAUUUGUUGAACAUCAUAGUAAUUAUAAACACCCUUAGCAUACGAAGAUAUGAUUCCAUUAUCAAUGAACUCACAUUGGUAGGGAAGGUGUUUCUUAGGGUUUUCAGAACGACAAGUAACAUCAUAAAUUUCACAUAAAUUCCAAGCAUAGCAUUGCAAACGUUGAAUUUGGUCCCAUAAUAGUUUCCCUUUUUCAGAUAUACGGUGUUGCACAUAACAAGCAUGCUCAUCUAAAGAUUUGCCCUCAACUAAGCUAGUUGGGGUUUCAGCACGAGCACAUAGGGAUCUAAGAUGAUCCAAGUAAAAAGCUUCAGUAGUGUGAUAGAUUUUGAGUGGUUCUUCAACCAUUGGAGCAGUAGGUACAACUAAUUUUUUUGGUAUUUUGCGUUUCCUACCCAUAGCUAAAGAUAGAAAACAACUGAGAACAACAAAUAAAAAUUACUUAGUGAUAAAGCAAACAAGCACACACGAGAAUAUUCACCCCACGCUAUGACUCCCCGGCAACAGUGCCAGAAAAAGGUCUUGAUAACCCGCAAGUAUACGGGAUCGCAACAUUUUUUGAUAAGUAAGAGUGUCGAACCCAACGAGGAGCUAAAGGUAGAAUAAAUAUUCCCUCAAGUUCUAUCGACCACCGAUACAACUCUACGCAUGCUUGACAUUCGCUUUACCUAGAACAAGUAUGAAACUAGAAAUACUUUGUAGGUGUGAUAGGCUAGGUUUGCAAGACAAUAAAGAGCACGUAAGUAAAAAGUAGGAGCUGUUUAUAUAAAGACACAACUAAAGUAAGUAUUAGUAGAGAGCUUUUUGUUAUGAGAAAGUUAUUUGUCCAAGGCAAUCGAUAACUAGACCGUAAUCACUGUUGCAAUUCUAUUUGAGGGAGAGGCAUAAGCUAACAUACUUUCUCUACUUGGAUCAUAUGCACUUAUGAUUGGAACUCUAGCAAGCGUCUGCAACUACUAAAGAUUCAUUAAGGUAAAACCCAACCAUAGCAUUGAAGUAUCAAGUCCCCUUUUAUCCCAUACGCAACAAUCCCCUUACUCGGGUUUGUGUUUCAGUCACUCACGCAACCCACUAUAAGCGAAUCAUGAACACAUUGCAACACUCUACAGUGGGAAUCCCUCACGCUUGCGCGACACAGAGGGCACCAUAGGACAGCACCAAUAAUAAAAUAUGCAACUCAAACCAAUCACGAUCAUCAAUUAACCCAUAGGACAAAACAGAUCUACUCAAACAUCAUAAGAUAGCCAUACAUCAUUGGGAAAUAAUAUAUAGCGUUGAGCACCAUGUUUAAGUAGAGACUACAGCGGGUAAGAGAGAGGUUACACCGCUGCAUAGAGGGAGGAAUAGUUGGUGAUGAAGGCGGUGAAGUUGUUGGUGAAUAUCGUGGUGAUGAUGAUGGCCCCCGGCAGCGUUCCGGCGCCACCGGAAGCAAGGGGGAGAGUGCCCCCCUUCUUCUUCUUCUUCUUCUUAUUCUUCCUUAACCUCCUCCCUAGAUGGGAGAAGGGUAUCCCCUCUGGUCCUUAUCUCCCAUGGCGUGGGAGGGGCGAGAGCCUCUCCGAGAUUGGAUCUGUCUCUCUGUUUCUGCGUUCUCAGAUUCUACCCCUUCACCGUUUCUUAAAUAUCCGGAGAUCCGUAACUCCGAUUGGGGUGAAUCUUUCUCCCAGAUCUUUCCCAUAAAAUUAGCUUUCUUGCGCCAAAAGAAGAGCGUCAACCGCCUUACGGCUGGCCCACGAGAGCCCAUGCCGUGCCCGGGGGGAGGGCGCGCCCCCCUGUCUCGUGGCCACCCCGGACACUGCUUCGCGUUGAUUUUACUUCCCAAAAAUCAUAAAUAUUCCAAACAAAAUCUCCAUCCAUUUUUAUCCCGUUUGGACUCGUUUGAUAUUGGGUUUCUACGAAACAAAAAACAUGCAACAGACAGGAACUGGCACUGGGCACUGGAUCAAUAUGUUAGUCCCAAAAAUAGUAUAAAAAGUUGCCAAAAGUAUAUGAAAGUUGAAUAAUAUUGGCAUGGAACAAUCAAAAAUUAUAGAUACGACGGAGACGUAUCAUCCGCUCUACCAGCCAGGGUAGUAAAGGGAGAACUAUUGCGAUUGUGUCCUGGUUCAUCCGGAUGAGCACCCCAGUAGAGAAAGCCGAAAACUGACUGUCAUGAUGCGGCAAGAGAUGGUCAACCACUCGAUGACUCACCGGAAUCUUUGCGAUUCCUUCUGUAUUACAUGUAGGACCGUUCUUGUGGUCACGUAUGUAAAUGCACCAUACUCGGGUAAGUGCGUACAUACCAGGGGCUAUAUCGUAGACCCACCCCCAAACUCAGAUGGCUAAGUGAAAGUGUUAAAGCCCUAUAGUCUGAUUGCCUGGUUCGCCGCAUUGGCACCUCCUUAAUGGACCAAGACGUUGGGUCAAGAGUGAUCAAGUGCUUUUCCGAACACCCCCGCGUUAUAUGCGAGGGGGCAGAAGCUGACGACUGGCAAACUUCCAGAUUACACAAAAAACGGCUGCACAAGAGGCACCAAAAACUUAUUAGGCAAAAGUAUAAAAUACAUAGCCUUAAAUAUAUCAUAAUAUUGUUUUUACAAUUUCGGUCCACUUCACUCGAACAUAAUAUCUUUCAAGCACUGACCCUCUAUCAAGCAGGCACCCUCUAGGACAUCCUCAAAAUAAUGCUCCGGCGUGUGAUGGUCCUCACCCUUGGUUGGACUUUUCGCUGCAAUAUCGGUGGCCUUCAUCUUCGCCUAGUACAUCUUGACGCGGGCAAGGACCAUCCGUGCAUCUUCUAUGCGCGUGGACCGCUUAACAACAUUGAUACGAGGCACCACAUCAACAAGUCGCUGCACCAAACCAAAAUAACUAUUCGGAAUUGGCUUAGUCGGCCAUAGCCGGACCACGACGUCCUUCAUGGCAGAUCCGGAUAUCUUGUGGAGCUCGGCCCACUGGGCCAUCUGUUCAUUCAGCAACAGCGGACACUUUGGCAUACUGAAUUGCGACCAGAAAAGCUUUUCCGUCGCAUGUCCUUCUUGCGCUUGGAAAAACUGCGUCGCAUCAAAGGCACUCUUCAGCAAGUCCAAAAAUGCAUCUGGAGAACUGCACAUUUGAUUAAGCGGGGCAUACUUUGGAUCGCUGAAUUUAGUUUGUAUCAAGAAGGGCUUACCAGCCGCGAUCUCCCCAGCUUGUCGGAUCUCCUCCCGAGCCGCUCUAGACUCGGACCGCGCUUCCCUCGCCUCUUGUAAGGCCUUGUUAAGAUCGGCCGCUCUGGUUUUGUUAUCUUUCUCGAGGAAUUCGCAUUGGCUCGUGGCAUCUUUUAGCUCAAGCGCCAUGGUAGAUAUUCUCUCCUCGCACUGGCGCCGAGCAGCCUGUUCGGCCUUUAAUUCAGUAGCUGCCUUUUCGGCAGCGGCAUUACUCAUCCUGGCUUGCUCCUUGGCCUGGGCAAGCUCAGCUCGAAGGGUAUCAACUACGGUGGCACUAUCUGCAGUUAUGCAUAUCUUAGUAUACAAUUCUCAGCGUCAUGCUGCUAUUAUAGUACUUGCAUAUACUGACUGCCCCAAAAACAUACCUUGCGCCUCAUCGAGCCGCCUAUUAAUAAGCGUGAUGUCAUCAUCCGCCGCAUCAAGCUUCUACUUCAAAUCUACAACCUCUGCAGCUUGGGCAGUCGCCAGGUAUGUAACCGCCUAUGUUCCAAUUAGUCAGAUUAUUUCCUACGCAUAUCUUUCUUGAUCCUCUGAUUGCCUCCCUUUGGACGCCAACCAGAGUCUCAAGGGCUACUAUCUAAACUCAGGCGCAUUUUGCAUUUAUCGCACAAUUGAAAAUAUUACAUUACAUACCUCGAAGUCUCUUAGCAGGCCCGUAAAGGCUUCAUUCAAUCCGCUUUUUGCAGACAGAACCCUUUCAACCAUCAUACCCAUCAGGGUACGAUGUUCCUCUAAGAUGGGCGCACGUCGCAAUGUGUCCAUCAAUGUAUCCGACACCUCUGGAUCCCUGGAAGCAGCUGAAGGGGUACGGACUCCCUUCAAAGGAAUAUGUUUGCUCGACCUUAGAGUCAUCUCGGGCUGUAAAUCGGAUAGCCCGGGGCCUUUAUUGUUGGUCCCCGUAGGGGCCGCACACCCCGGACCCUGGACAACCAAAGUAUCACCUUCGGGCCUAGUCUUCAUUGUCCCUCGCACCGCUUGUUGACCGGGAAAGAUCCUCCGGGACGACACCUUAGGGUCGUCUGCCCUAUUGGGCGGGGAGAUCUAUGGAGGCAUCUCGCUCUCCACCAUCUCCGGAAGAAGAUCCCCCAAAGAGGAGUACUGUUGAGGAAGGCUGCAUGCCGGACUGCAAACAUAUGUUUUAAAUAUUAUCCUUACAGCUAGGAAAGGACGGGAUAUGUUUAAAAACACCCUUGUUCACUUAUGAUUCAGCCAAGGGCCUGUCCUUGUAGAGGGACAGCGUGACAACGUUGCCUCUCGAACCAGAACCCCCUGACAGGCAUAUCUUCCCUCGCUUAGAAGCCUUUAUCUUCAAGUCUUCGGAGGCGGUCCUCUUCUUCCCAUGAGGAGAAGGGAUGUCAGUUUCUCCUUCCCUUUCAUCUUCGGAAGAGGGAGUUCCAAUCUCCCCGGAAGAGGCAUCUGGUGUACCUCUAGAAUGGGGGCCACCCUGGGCCUUCUUACUCUCCUCUUUGUCUUCCCUCGCCGACACUUGAUAUGGUGCCGGAGCCAGCAUCCUUGUUAACACCGGAUCAGCUGAGUCUUCGGGAAGAGGGGCCGAACACCUAAUUCUCUCCGCCUUCUUUAUCUAGCCCUGGUCGAGUAUGGUUUUCUCAGUAUAUUGCUACGAAAAAUUUAACUAAGCUGUGUUUGGGAGUCGAGUGCUUACCGAGGUAUCCGGAUGGUUGCAGUCAAGGCCGAUGUCCUCUGUAGUAUCCGGACACUAUUUUCGUGUCCUGAAGAAUAAUUUCCACAUUCCUCUGAGCGUCAUGCCGGAGAAGUGUUGAAGGGUUCAUGGUCCUUCUGGAUUGAACUCCCACAUGUGGAGAGGCCGUCGCUGGCACGGUAGGACCCGACGGACUAGCAUUACUUGGAUUACGUUGAUAAGGCCGGUGUCCUUUGCAAUGAGGCUCGGAAUGUGGCUUUGCAGCAUCUGCACUUUAUCAAUUGAUCCCCAUUCCAACCCCUUAUUAAUCCAUGAUGCAAGCUGUAAUGAAGGGCCAGGUUGGAACGCAGGUGUAGCUGCCCACUUGGUACCACGGGGUUCAGUGAUGUAAAACCACUCCCGCUGCCAUAGGUCAGAAGUUUCUACUCCCUCCGUUCCAAAAUAGAUGACCCAAAUUUACACUAACUAUAGUAUAAAGUUGUGUCAUCUAUUUUGGAACGGAGGGAGUAUGAAGGAGCCCUUUGGCCAAGGAGUAUCAGUGAGUUUGCUCACUGCACCACCGCCGCACUCCGCUUGUUUCCCGUUGACUACCUUCAGCUUCACGUUAAAGGUCUUGAGCCACAAGCCGAAGUGUGGGGGAAUACGGAGGAAGGCCUCGCAUGUAAUAAUGAACGCUGAGACGUGAGGAAAGGAGUCCGGAGCUAGAUCGUGAAAAUCUAGCCUAUAAUAGAACAUGAGCCCUCAAACGAAGGGAUGAAGAACAAACCCUAGCCCUCAGAGGAAGUGGGAGAUGAAUACGACCCUCUCGCCGGAUCUGGGAGUAGGAAUAAUCUGCCCUUGAGCAGGAGGCCUGUGGGGUAUUUCCGCGGUCAGGUAUCUUGCCUGCCGGAGCUUCGUGAUAUCCUCCUCGGUGACAGAGGAAGCCACCCACCGACCUUGGGGGCUAGGUCCGGACAUGACUGGGAAGCACGAAGCAAUUAAAUUGAACCUUGGGUGGUGGAACUCGGGGUGGGAGAGGUUGAGGAAAGGAUUGGCGUAAAGGAGAGAAGACAGGUUCUAGCCCCUUUAUAAAGGCGAUGAUUAUCAAACGCCCCCUCCUAGGCCUUAAAACCUACCUAUUCCCAAGGAAUCAUGCCAACGGAACGGUUGGGUUACCCACACCCAUAUCAAUGAGAAUCCUGCAAUAAGGGGCGCGAUCUCUGCUUUGACAAGACAUGCCAAUGAAACCACAUCUGGAAAUAUGGAGCAGCAGGCUAAAAACGGUUUGAAAUAAAGGCCGGGCGGCGACGUGAUGUCACGCUAUAAAAAGUUGUCAGCGGAUUGGACUAGUGAAAUAUUAUACUGGUUGUGUGUGGAAUUUGUUUUGUAGAGCCGGACACGUUUCUUGUGUUCAAAGACUAUUUUGGAGUAUUCGGAGAAGGAAUCCGCCUUGCAAUGCCGAAGACAAUCUGCGCGCCGGACACCUCAUCAUUGAAGCCUAGUUCAGGGGCUACUGAGGGAGUCCUGGAUUGAGGGGUCCUCGGGCUUCCAAACUAUUGACAUGGGCCGGACUGAUGGGCUAUGAAGAUACAAGACAAAAGACUCUCUCCCAUGUCCGGAUGGGACUCUACUUGGCAUGAAAGGCACGCUUGGCGACUCGAUAUGAAGAUUCCUUUCUCUGUAACUGACUUUGUACAACCCUAGUCCCCUCCGGUGUCUAUAUAAACUGGAGGGUUUAGUUCGUAGGGUAGGAUCAUAAUCAUUUAGGCUAGACUUUUAGGGUUUUAGCCAUUACGAUCUCGUGGUAGAUCCACUCUUGUAAUACUCAUAUUUAUCAAGAUCAAUCAAGCAGGAAGUAUGGUAUUACCUCCAUAGAGAGGGCCCAAACCUGGGUAAACAUCGUGUCCCCCGCCUCCUGUUACCAUCAACCUUAGACACACAGUUCGGGACCCCUACCUGAGAUCCACCGGUUUUGACACUGACAACGGGCGUGAGUCUGAAAUACCAAUUUUAGUUCUUGGAACAUCUCAUAUGCUCUGUGGAGUUUCAAAACGUCUUCUGAAGUCCCGGUUCUAAGCCGUAAAGCAUGGUGCACUAAACUAUCAAGUAGUCAUCAUUUUGAGCUAGCCAAACGUUCAUAACGUCUUCAUCUGCUCCUGCAAUAGGUCUGUCACCUAGCGGUGCAUCAAGGACAUAAUUCUUUUGUGCAGCAACGAGGAUAAACCUCAGAUCACGAACCCAGUCCGCAUCAUUGGUACUAUCAUCUUUCAACUUAGUUUUCUCUAGGAACAUAUUAAAAAACAUAGGGAAGCUACAACGCGAGUUAUUUAUGUACAACAUAAUUUGCAAAUACUAUUAGGACUAAGUUCAUGAUAAAUUAAAGUCCAAUUAAUCAUAUUACUAAAGAACUCCCACUUAGAUAGACAUCCCUUUAGUCAUCUAAAUGAUCACCUUAUAAAUAUCAACUAAACCAUGUCCAAUCAUCACGUGAGAUGGAGUAGUUUUCAAUGGUUAACAUCUCUAUGUUGAUCAUAUCUACUAUAUGAUUCACGUUCGACCUUUCGGUCUUAGUGUUCUGAGGCCAUAUCUGCAUAUGCUAGGCUCGUCAAGUUUAACCCGAGUAUUCUGCACAUGCAAAACUGGCUUGCGCCCAUUGUAUGUGAACGUAGAGCUUAUCACACCCGAUCAUCACAUGGUGUCUCGGCACGAUGAACUGUAGCAAUGAUGCAUACUCAGGGAGAACACUUAUACCUUGAAAUUUAGUGAGGGAUCAUCUUAUAGUGCUACCGCCGUACUAAGCAAAAUAAGAUGCAUAAAAGAUAAACAUCACAUGCAAUCAAAAUAUGUGACAUGAUAUGGCCAUCAUCAUCUUGUGCCUUUGAUCUCCAUCUCCAAAGCACUGUCAUUAUCUCCAUUAUCACCGGCUUAACCCUUGAUCUCCAUUGUAGCAUCGUUGUCGUCUCGCCAACUAUUGCUUCUACGACUAUCACUACCGCUUGGUGAUAAAGUAAAUCAAGUACAUGGCGAUUGCAUUUCAUACAAUAAAGCGACAACCAUAUGGCUCCUGCCAGUUGCCGAUAACUCUGUUACAAAACAUGAUCAUCUCAUACAAAAAUUUAUAUCACAUCAUGUCUUGACCAUAUCACAACACAACAAGCCCUACAAAAACAAGUUAGACAUCCUCUACUUUUUUGUUGCAAGUUUUACGUGGCUACUACGGGCUCCUAGCAAGAACCGUUCUUACCUACGCAUCAAAACCACAAUGAUUUUUCGUCAAGUGUGUUGUUUUAACCUUCAACAAGGACCGACCGUAGUCAAACUCGAUUCAACUAAAGUUGGAGAAACAGACACCCGCCAGCCCCGUGUGUGCAAAGCACGUCGGUAGAACCAGUCUCAUGAACGCGGUCAUGUAAUGUCGGUCCGGACCACUUCAUCCAACAAUACUGUAGAAUCAAAGUAAGAUGUUGGUGGUAAGCAGUAUGACUAUUAUCGCCCACAACUCUUUUGUAUUCUACUCGUGCAUAUCAUCUACGCAUAGACCUGGCUCUGAUUCCAUUGUUGGGGAGCGUAGCAUGCAAUUUCAAAAAAAUUCCUAUGAUCACGCAAGAUCUAUCUAGGAGAUGCAUAGCAACGAGAGGGGAAGAGUGUGUCCACGUACCCUCAUAGACCAAAAGCGGAAGCGUUAGUUAACGCGGUUGAUGUAGUCGAACGUCUUCACAAUCCAAUCGAUCCAAGUACCGAAUGUAUGGCACCUCCGAGUUCAGCACACGUUCAGCUCGAUGACGUCCCUCGAACUCUUGAUCCAGCAGAGGGUCGAGGGAGAGUUUUGUCAGCAUGACGGCGUGGUUACGGUGUUGAUGAUGUGAUCCGCACAGGGCUUCGCCUAAGCACUACGAUGAUACUAUCGGAGGAGUAAACAGUGGAGGGGUGCACCGCACAUGGCUAAGACAAUGUUGUGUCUUUGGGGUGCCCCCUACCCCCAUAUAUAAAGGAGAGAGGAGGAGGCCGGCCACCAGGGGCGCGCCAAGGGAGGGGGGAGUCCUACUAGGACUCCACUCCUAGUAGGAUUCACCCCUCCUCUUUUUUCCUUCUUACGAAGGUGGAAAGGGGGAAGGAGAGGGAGUAGGAGAAGGAAACGGGGGUGGCGCCCCCUUUCCCUAGUCCAAUUCGGCCUCCUCCCAUGUGGGGGGCGCACCAGCCCCUUGUGGGCUGGUUAGCCUUCCUUCCAUGGCCCAUAUGGCCCAUAUGUUCCACCGGGGGGGGGGUCUGGUAACCCUUCCGGUACUCCGGUUUGUACCGGAUACACUCUGGAACCCUUUCGGUGUCUGAAUACCACCUUCCAAUAUAUCAAUAUUUACCUCUCGACCAUUUCGAGACACCUCGUCAUUUCCGUGAUCUCAUCCGGGACUCAGAAGAAACUUCGAUCAUCAAAAAUACAUAACUCAUAAUGCAAAUCAUCAUCAAACAUUAAGCAUGCGGACCCUUCGGGUUCGAGAACUAUGUAGAGAUGACCGAGACACAUCUCCGGUCAAUAACCAAUAGCAGAACCUGGAUGCUCAUAUUGGCUCCUACAUAUUCUACGAAGAUCUUUGUCGGUCAAACCGCACAACAACAUACGUUGUUCCCUUUGUCAUCGGUAUGUUACUUGCCCGAGAUUCGAUCAUCGGUAUCAUCAUACCUAGUUCAAUCUCGUUACCGGCAAGUCCCUUUACUCAUUCUGUAAUGCUUCAUCCCGCAACUAACUCAUUAGUCACAUUUCUUGCAUGGCUCAUAGUGAUGAGCAUUACCGAGAGGGCCCAGAAAUACCUCUCCGAUACACGGAGUGACAAAUCCUAUUCUCGAUCUAUGCCAACCCAACAAACACCUUCGGAGACACCUAUAGAGCAUCUUUACAAUCACCCAGUUACGUUGUGAUGUCUGAUAGCACACAAGGUGUUCCUCCGGUAUUCGGGAGUUGCAUAAUCUCAUAGUUAGAGGAACAUGUAUAAGUCAUGAAGAAAGCAAUAGCAAUAAAACUUAUGGGUCAUUAUGCUAAGCUAAUGAAUGGGUCUUGUCCAUCACUUCAUUCUCUAAUGAUGUGAUCCCGUUCAUCAAAUGACAACACAUGUCUAUGGUCAGGAAACAUAACCAUCUUUGAUUAACAAGCUAGUCAAGUAGAGGCAUACUAGGGACACUUUGUUUUGUCUAUGUAUUCACACACGUACUAAGUUUCCAGUUAAUACAAUUCUAGCAUGAAUAAUAAACACUUAUCAUGAUAAAAGGAAAUAUAAAUAACAACUUUAUUAUUGCCUCUUAGGGCAUAUUUUCUUCACCCCCCCUUCCAUAAUUGCUGGAGGGGGAAAAGGGAAGAGGAAGGAGAGAAGGAAAGGGUGGGCCGAAUCCCCUCUUUCCCUUCUCCCACUCGGCCUCCUUCCUUGGGGGGCGCACCACCCUUUGUGGGCUGGUGUGCUCCCCUCUUAUGGCCCAUAUGGCCCAUAUCUUUCCCUCGGGGGUUCCAGUAACCCCUCUGGUACUCCGAUAAAUACCCGAUAUACUCCGGAACACUUCCGGUGUCCGAAUACUAUCAUCCCAUAUAUCAAUCUUUACAUGUCGACCAUUUUAAGACUCCUUGUCAUGUCCACGAUCUCAAUCGGGACUUAGAACAACAUUCCGUCACCAAAUUACAUAACCCAUAUAAUAUAAUAUCAUCAUCGAAUGUUAAGCGCGCAGACCCUACAAUUUCGAGAACUAUGUAGACAUGACCGAGACAACUCUCCGGUCAAUAACCAAUAGCGGAACCUAGAUGCUCAUAUUGGCUCCCACAUAUUCUACGAAGAUCUUUAUCAGUCGAACCGUUAUGACAACAUACAUUAUUCCCUUUGUCAUCGGUAUGUUACUUGCCCGAGAUUUGAUCGUCGGUAUCUUCAUACCUAGUUUAAUAUCGUUACCGGCAAGUCUCUUUACUCGUUCUGUAAUACAUCAUCCUGUAACUAACUCAUUUGUCACUUUGCUUGCAAGGCUUCUUGUGAUGUGUAUUACCGAGAGGGCCUAGAGAUACCUCUCUGAUACUCGGAGUGACAAAUCCUAAUCUCGGUCUAUGCCAACCCAACAAACACCUUCAGAGAUAUCUGUAGAGCAUCUUUAUAACCAGCCAGUUAGUUAUGAUGUUUGAUAGCACACAAGGCAUUCCUACGGUAUCCAGGAGUUGCAUAAUCUCGUAGUUGGAGGAAUAUGUAUUUGACAUGAAGAAAGCAAUAACAAUCAAACUGAACGAUCAUAAUGCUAAGCUAAUGAAUGGGUCUUGCCCAUCACAUCAUUCUCCUGAUGAUCUGAUCCUGUUUAUCAAAUGACAACACAUGUCUAUGGUUAGGAAGCUUAACCAUCUUUGAUGAACGAGCUAGUCUAGUAGAGGCUUACUAGGGACAGAGUAGUUUGUCUAUGUAUCCACACAUAUAUCAAGUUUCCGAUUAAUACAAUUCUAGCAUGAAUAAUAAACAUUUAUCAUGAAAUAAGGAAACAUAAAAUAACAACUUUAUUAUUGCCCCUAGGGCAUAUUUGCUUCAAGGCCGUGUGGUUGCGGAAGUGGUGAUGUGACAUGCCUCGUGUCCCUUCGUUGCAGACUGUUGCAGUAGGGGAUAAAACAGAUACCACCUAUAGGCUACGUCCACGGGGACCUUUUCCCCUUAAUCACUAUUUGGUAACCGGAGUGGGGAUGAAUGGUAGUGGCAUAUGUGAUACGGGACUGCCGAGAGUAUGCACGUAUCUACACCAGCACUGCCCACGAGAAAAACAUGCAAAUUGGCUUAGGAAUCCGAAGUAGCAUUGUGUCUAGGCACCGCUAUAGAUGCACACUAGAGGGGAUUCUGGACUCCCUGGGAACGCUAGAUACAUCUCCGACGUAUCUAUAAUUUUCGAUUUUUCCAUGCUAUUAUAAUAUUAAUCUUGGAUGUUUUAUAUGCAAUUAUAUGUGAUUAUAUAUUAUUUUUGGGACUAACCUAUUAACUUAGUGCCAAGUGCCAGUUGUUGUUUUUUACCUGCUUUUGGUUUUCCAGAAUAUUAGUACCAAACGAAGUCCAAAUGCAACAAAACUUUUUGGAGAUUUUUUCCAGACAUAAGAGACCAUGGAAGCUUCGGGAGAGGGCCAGAAGAUGAAGGAGGGCCCCACGAUGCACCAUGGCGUGCCCAGGGGGGUAGGCAUGCCCUAGUGGCUUGUGGGGCUCAUGAGCAUCCGUUUGACCUAAUUUCGCCUCUGUACAUUCUCUAAAAUCAUGAAACCAACAAAGAGCCACCCAAAACACUUUUGCCACUACCGCAAGCUUCUGUUCUUGCGAGAUCCCAUUGGGAGGCGCCUUUUCCGGUACUCUGUCGGAGGGGGAACCAACCACGGAGGGGCUCUACAUCAAUCUUGCUGCCCUUAUGAUGAUGUGUGAGUAGUUUACCAGAGACCUAUGGGUCCAUAGCUAGUAGCGAGAUGGCUUCUUCUCUCUCUUUGAUCUUCAAUACAAUGUUCUCCUUGAUGUUCUUGGAGUUCUAUUCGAUGUAAUCACUUUUUGCGGUGUGUUUAUUGGGAUCCGAUGAAUUGUGAGUUGAUGAUCAGAUUAUCUAUGAAUAUUUUUUGAGUCUUCUCUGAACUCUUUUAUGCAAGAUUAUUAUAGCUUUGUAUUUCUCUCCGAUCUAUUGAUUUGGUUUGGCCAAGUAUAUUGAUUUUUCUUGCAAUGGGAGAGGUGCUUUGUAAUGGGUUUAAUCUUGCUGUGAUCUAUACUCCACCGUUGCCGCCGUAGAGGAUUAUCAUCGAGUUAGGGUGAGAUUCGAUCUCCUCAUGCUUCUAUUUAUCUCAUUCAAUGCACAAGGAUUCUGCCUAGUAUCUUGCCACGUUUGAGAUUGAUCUAUCCGCCAAACAAAUUCGUUAGAAUAGAUUCGAAAAAAUUAGGGUUAGGUUUCCGCCGAACUCAUCUCGGACCAACUGAAAUGAAAUUUUUGGUCCACCGAUUGGCUCUGGCCAUUGCACAAGUACAAUUCGGUGCCACCGAAAUGUACUGAUCGGUGAGAUCAAAAGUAAAGUUUCUGUGAAACCCUAGCAUCCUGGAACCACCGAACCAGUCCAACCAAAAGUGUGUGUUUAGGCUCUGUAGGUGCUUCGGUGUCACCAAAAUGAUCAGACCGGUAGCUUCAAAAUGCUUUCUAUGGAAAACUAAAACUGAAGUUUGGACUCAAAUUUUUGAAAAACAAUCUGAUUUUUGUGAUAACUCAUCUACUCUACCCAUACCCAUCUAUUCACAGGGUCAGCUUUGCAAGAUGUCUAGUGCAAGUGACAGUCAGAACUAGUCAAAGCAGAAUGUUGAUCUGAGUGAGGGUUCAAGCCCUAGUGACAGCUAUGAUGAUGGCAGUAGGAGCACUCCAAGCAACUUGCCAAAGGUUGCCUCCAGAACAAGGAAGAAGAAAACCUUAGCAAGUGAGGAUGAGGACUUUGUUGCAGAUGAAGAGGUCACUUCCAAGAAGAAGGCAGUACUCAGAAAGGAGUAUGGCUCUACAGCUACCACUAAACCAGGUGCCAAGCAAAAGACUGUUGUUAGGAGAGUCCCAAUGUCAAAACCUCGGAAAACUUCGGCUCCACAAGAAACCAUGACCAUCAACUUGAGGAGUCAAGUGGUGAAUAAGAUGCUGCUGGUAAAAGGAAGAAGAGGGCUAGGAAAACCAUGACUACAGUGCUUGGCAAGUCUUCCAUGAGGGAAGAGGAAGAAGAGGAGGAGGAGGAACUUGUCGCACCUCCAGUUAAAACACAUAAGCUCAUGGCAGAUGCCAUGAAGACAUCUACUCCCUUCAAGCCCAAGUCAAAACCCAAAGUUUCUGCACCCAAGAGGUCUACAAGAAAUAUAUCAGUUGCUGAAAAGAACAAGGCCCGAGUGCCUGAAGUUAAGAUUGAUGAGUAGCCAAUAGUGCUUAGAACCAAGAUCCCGAAUCAUGACAAUGCACAUCCAGUUGCUGAAAACAUGAAGCUCGGGAAUGACAAGUGUCUGAGAGAAUGGAGGAAAGUGGAUCCAUAUUCAGUCAGGAGGAGGACAUCGUGUGAUUACCGCUUUCACACCUAUGAACAACAAGAUUUCUACAAGACAGUUUUGCUUGAUAAGAAGACCAUUGUUAGCGACAUGAAGUGGGUGAACUGGAAGUACAUCGAUGCAAAUGGAGACUACUUCCCCCAUGUUUAUGAGAGCUUUAGGCUUGCAGGUGUUGACAAGUUUGUUGGUCAGAAGCUACAAAGUGGAAUGAUGAGAUGAUCAUGUAGUUCUAUUCCACAACACACUUCUAUCCAGAUGGGAAGAUUGCAUGGAUGACUGAGGGACACAAGUACUAGUCAUCAAUCUCUGAGUGGGCUGCCCUCAUUGGUGCUCCUGAGGAGGAUAAAAAUGAUGUUGAUGUGUACGGGAAGCCCCAGAUGGACCACAACUCAAUGGUCAAUAUGUACAAGGAAAUCCCUCCCAAGGAUCUUGAGGGUCACAAACUUGGUCACGUGAGUCACUUGCUUGCUAGGUUGGCCACAACUAACAUGAUCUUGAGGCAUCUGCCCAAGCACGGAGAUGACAAGAUGAUACGUGGCCACUCCAUCAAUUUGCUUCACUUGUUUGAUUCCCCACCGCAAAAAAGUUCAAAGUUAUGAGUUUGAUAGUAGAGAUUGUCAAGAGGACAUCUGCUGACCAGAAAGGCCUUGUGGAUAUGCCCCACACAUUCAGAUGCUCGUCAACUCCCAAGUUGGGAUGAAGACAUAUCUACUUGACCGUGAGCACCUCCCUCUUUAGCCAGAGUUCGAGGACAGUGUAGUGGUGAUGGAUCCUUCACACUCUACAUUAGUUGAGGCUCAAGAGAAAGCUUAGGCAGCAGCAUCAAAGGC
rnacentral:lncRNA from 1 species